rnacentral:lncRNA from 1 species
UGGUGGUGGGCUCGCCGCCCCGUCUGCGUGCGCGCGCGUCUUCAGAUCUAGUGGUACAGUGGUAGUGGGAGUCUGCAGUCUAGUAGUAGUGGUAGUGUCGUUAGCGGUGGUGAUAGUUUUAUGAAGAGGAGGCAUUUGUUUUGGUCCGCGUGGCGGAUGGAUGGAUGGAUGGAUCUGAGGGUUUGGAGAGGUUUUUUGAUGGUGGAUUUGAUCUAGUGUGAUUGGUGUGAGUUUAUUAUUACUAUUAUAUUAUUUAUUAUUAUUGUGUGCGUUCCUGUACCUACUGCGCACCGGCUCUGAGAGGAUUAUUAUUAUUAUUAUUAUGGAUUUGUGGUGUUUUAUGUUACUGCGUCUUCUCUAUGCAGUGCUCAUAUGAAGUAGUAGAUUGUUGUUUUGUUUUGGGCCUUGUUUAGUUCCGAAAAAAUUUCGGAUUUUGGUACUCUAGCGCUCUCGUUUGUUUUGUGGUAAAUAUUAUCCAAUCAUAGACUGACUAGCCUCAAAAGAUUCAUCUCGCGAUUUACAGACAAACUGUAUAAUUAGUUUUUGUUUUCAUCUAUAUCUAAUGCUUUAUGCAUGUGUUCUGAGAUUCGAUGUGAUUGAGAAUCUUGAAAAGUUUUUGGAUUUCGGGGUGAACUAAACAAGGCCAUUUGCAGUGCACCAAUUCUACUAAAAUUUCAUACUCUCCUCCGUCCUCUAAAGAGUGUAAUCUUAAAAUUUAAAUUUUGUCAAAAAAAAAUAUAACUGUGGAGUUGAGAUCAACUUUUCUAAAAGGAUCCACCUAUUAAAAAAAAUGAUUGCAUGUCUUGAACACUACCGUACCCUAACUAUCCAUGUGCAUAAAAUUUUUUAAACUUCUGAAGAACAUUCUAGAACAUCGAAUAAAGAAAGAAGACAAAUAUGUAAUUUUACAUGUACACUAAUCUUACCUUAAAAAAAUGAGAUUUACAUUCUUCAUUCUUUGUAGAACUGAGGGAGUACUUGGACCGAUGGUAGAAAAUUGCCGCAAAAUCUCGUUCUCUCCCCAUGGCAAACGGAGAAGGAUCCAGUAACUUUGCUCGAUAAAGUCACGUCGUAACUUUCCUUCCAUCCUGUUCGUCCAUUCAAGAUCCAACGGAUUCAGUGAUUUUAAGUAAAAACAUCUCUCACACUUAGUCAUUUUCAGUAUGGACUGCUGGGCACGCUAUGCAGGCUUUGUUUAGUUCAAAAAAAAAUCAAGAUUCUUGUCACAUUAAAUCUUUGGACGUAUGCACGAAGUAUUAUAUAUAGAUAAAAUAAAUACUCUCUUCAUCUCAAAUUAUAAGUUAUUCCAAAAAUCUUAAAGAGUCAAACCAUUUUAAGUUUGACCAAAUUUAUAUGGUAAGAUAAUAAUAUUUAUGGUGUGAACUUAAUAUCAUUAAAUUCUUCAUUAGUUAUAUUUUCAUAAUAUACCUAUUUGAUGUUAUAGAUCUUUGUAUUUUUUCUCUAUAAUUUUGGUCAAAGUUAAAAUGCUUUGACUCUCCAACUUUCUUGGAAUGACUUAUAAUUUAGGAUGGAGGGGUAACUAAUUAGACAGUUUGCAUGUAAUUUGCAAGACGAAUCUUUUAAGCGCAGUUAGUCCAUGAUUGAACAAGAAUGGUCAAAUACAAACAAAAGUGCUACAGUAGUUAAAAUCAAAAGUGCUACAAUUUUGUCCAAUCAUGAAGUAACUAGACUUAAAAGAUUCAUCUCGCGAUUUAUAGGCAAACUGUGCAAUUAGUUUUUGUUUUCAUCUAUAAUUAAUGCUUCAUGCAUAUGCCACAAGAUUCGAUGUGACGAGGAAUCUUAAAAUUUUUUUGGCUUUUGAGGUGAACUAAACAAGGCCCUAGUUAGUUCAUGGUUGGACAAUAAUUACCACAAACAAACGUAAGUGCUAUAGUGCCGCAAAAUUUUUUCCUUCAGAAACUAAACAAAGUACUAAAUAUAGAUUAUUUACGAAAUUACAAAUACAAUUAAAGAGUAAUUUGCGAAAUAAAUCUGUUAAGUCUAAUUAAUACAUAAUUAAAUACUAAUUAUCAAAUAAAAUAAAAAUACUACAAUAACUAUUAAAUUUUAAGAACUCCAAAACAACACCCUCGGAGAAGCGCGCAGCGGCGUGCACAAAGAGCACCAGGCGGUGUGCGGCAUGGAGCGCUCAAGGGCCAACGUACCCUGCGAUGCAUUCUCGUGUGAAGAAAAGAGACACAACUUGAUCUCCACCGUUCGACCUUGAUUGGAGGGUGGAUGACAGAGCUAAAGUUACGACGUGACUUGAAGGAGUAAAGUCACCGAAUCUGUGUCCAUGGCAAACGUGUGCAAAAUCUCACACCCACACAGGGUGCUUGGUCGUUUAACCAACUGCACAGCCAGCGGAAGCUAGCGGACCUGAUAGAUUUGUCUUGCCUUGAGGCACCUAGACGUGUAUGGUUAGAGUGAUUAAUUGUCCUGUUUGAGCAUCUGAAGGGCCUUGUUUACUUCUAAAUUUUUUUACAAAAUAUGAAUACUGACACUUUCGGUUGUAUUUGACAAAUAUUAUCCAAUUAUAGACUAACUAAGGUCAAAAGAUUCGUCUCGUCAAUUUCGACCAAACUGUGCAAUUAGUUUUUAUUUUUGUCUAUAUUUAAUACUCCUCCAUGCAUGUAUCUAAAUAUUCGAUGUGACGGAGAAUCUGAAAAUUUUUGCAAAAUUGGUUGGGAACUAAACAAGGCCCUGAUACAGAAUCGGUGCUGUGCGUAACGUGUGUCCCUUUCAGGAUCAGGAAGGAGAUGAGGAAGCGUCUCCUUCUCCUAGCUUAAAGGGGCCUUGUUCAGUUCCGAAAAGAUUUUGGAUUUCGGUACCGUAGCACUUUCGUUUGUUUGUGAUAAAUAUUAUCUAAUUAUGGAUUAACUAGAAUCAAAAGAUUCGUCUCACGAUUUCCAGCUAAACUGUGUAAUUAGGUUUUGCUUUCGUCUAUAUUUAAUGCUUCAUGCAUGUGUCGUAAGAUUCGAUGUGACGGGGAAUCUUGAAAACUUUUUGCUUUUUGGGGUGAACUAAACAAGGCCUAAGCAAGCUGCUGCAAGCGCACACACCUGUGCGAUGGAGAUGCCCGUACGGCAGGUGUCCACCUGUUAGGACAAGCACAUGGGCAAUGGUUGGGUUCGUUGUGACCACCUGGACACCUGGUCCACGCCCCCGCCACCCACCAGUGCACCACCGCCCGCAUCGCCAUCCAAGCUCCAGAUUCUUCCAGAAUUUUCUGCGUAUAAUACGAGUACACUUGUGCCAAAACGAAAAGAAGUUGCACUUACCCUGUUGACUUGAAUAAAUAGAGAUGGGACUUGAAUAAAUAGAGAUGGCAAUGAUGCCACGAACCCUAAGCUAGAUGUGUCCCAUAAUAUGAAACCUAUUUUGUUAUAGCUGAAAGUACUACUACUGGCUAGUAAAAAAAGUAGUAUAACUUAUGUACAUACAGAUUGAAACAAAGAUAGGGCUCCUGGCUGCUUCCUGCAAGGAUGAAUUUCGCACACGGGGAUGGAGACGAGAGUAGAAGCUCUCCCAUAAGCGUGCGUUUGCAGGUCACAGUUAUUUGCAGGGACGAGAAUGGGGAACUUUUUCCAUGCGGCGACGAGGAUGGGGAAGCUCUACGACUACGAAAUCAUUUCUGGGCAAGCACCAUCUUGGGGCCUAACGGCGGCCCACCAAGCAUGGUCCAGAUCUUGAUUUUCUUUUUACCAAAAUCGCACAAUAUAUAACAUCUCGAUUGAUGAAAAUACCCACUUGAAAAAGAAAAUUAAGUCAUCAAUAAAGAUAACAUUUCAUCAUCAAAUAAAAAGCGGGAAAAAGACAAAACAGGAGAAACUGAAAGCAAGAACUAAUUAUAAGCCUGAGAUCAACUACAAAUAAACUCCAACUGAUAGUCUUAUUCCCUUCGCUGACGAACUAGGCAUAUCGACAAGAUUAUUGGUUUCUUUGUGACAAGAAUCAAAACAAUGGGCGAAACAAAAUGACUUUCUCCUCCACCAAAUGGAAGGUCAACGCACCACCUAUCCAAUAUAUUUCGAAACUAACUAAACCGUUCAGCUUGCUUUUUUUUUAUAUCACCCAACAUUAGCCUACGCCACGGACAAAAAAUAGGAGACUAGAUCCCUUCCGGAGGAGCUAAUCCAAGUAGAAGAGUGUCACGAUCUUCCGAAGGUUCUUGGCCUCCUGGCAUGUUUCCAUCAGCAGCUUGCUGUCAUGGAACGCGAAGCAGAUCACCUGUUGGACCUUAGAGAUGAUGUCCAUAUUGCAUAACCUGAAGAUUGCAACAGUUGCCAUUAAGCAUAAAGGUGAUAUUCUAGUCACAAUACAUUUUUAUAUAGAGAUAAAAAGAAAUGUGACUCGUCCUUCAGUCCAUGUCCUUCUGAGCAGGCUAAAGGGGUAGUGGUACAAGAUAUCUAUACACCCUAACAAAUAGGCAAAAAGACAGACGCUGGUUUUCUAAAAAAAUAAAAUUUGAUUAACCAAACAAAAUAUAACAGUUUGUCAAGGUAACAGUACAGUAUCUACCCUUGGGCAGACCCCAUUCUAGAGUCAUCAAAUAUUAAUUAUGGCAUCAACCUGUCCACUGCUGGUUUUGAUGCAGUGUCUUUUAUUUAUGCAAUCAUUCUGUAAAUGAGGCAGCAGAAACUAUUGCAAAAUCUGCAGAACAUAGUGUUUGGUUCAGUGUAGCGUAAUGAAGUUCUGGAUUGUACCCGAACCAUCAAUGAUCUAUUUGAAUUAAACAAAGUGCAAUAUGUUUUGUCCAAAAACAAAGGAUGCAUAGCACCUGCACUAGUGCAAUCUCUGAAAAGAGCUGGGACUAAAUGAUACACUGCAUGGACUGAAUUGGUAUAUGCCACACCGCUGGUGACAAAAAUAUAGAGUAUAGGAAGACUAUGAGCAGUUUGGAAAGGUAGCUCACUGACCUGCUAGCCUCAAUUAGUGGCAAAUGAUCAUACUGCGGUUUCUCGAUCAAGUUUUGUACCUAUAAAAAAUUUACAAAAUGUUAUUGAAGCAUUUUCAAAUUUAUCACAUGGAAAGAAAUGCAUCAGCAGGAUGCCAUUAACUUCGCAAGGCAUGUUAUUAGAAUUAACACAUAUGACAGUGAAUGCUUAAUGAUUUGGCUUUUGUUUUCUAACACGCAGGAGAGCUGCAUAUCUUUAUAUAAGCUAUCUAGCCAGAAUCCCAUAUCGUAGAAUAAUGUUGAUGGUUUCUUACUAUUUCUGAAAGAUUCAAAUGCCAUGGUCAAACAUUCCUAACCAAGUGAUCGCACUGAUUUUUAAGCAUACUUAUGAUCAAGCUUGUUAAGAUCCUAAGAAAUCUUUCCACGACUGUGUCAAUAUGCUGAAAAUUUUGUGAUGACUGAUGAGCAGUCUAUCAAUCCAUACAAAAUCACUAAAUGGCUAAUACUAAAUAUAUAGAAACAAAGGUAAACUGGCGUGCAUAGGGCUCUAUAGUAACAGGUCUGGAGCUAAGUUUGACUAGAAAAUGACCAAUUCAGAAUAGAAACACCAGGAAGUCUCAUUCCAUAAUAGAAAUAUUAGGAAUUCUUACUUUAGACAACAGUUCUUGGCUUUCAGGAGGUUGCUUCUUUAGACUUUGUGGUAAAAUUACAGUAAGCAACUCUGGCUUUUCAGCUCUUAAAGCACCCCUGAUAACAGCUGCAUUUGUUCCAGAAGCCCCAGAUGUGAAUAUAUGAUUUUUCUGCAAAUUAUACACAAACAUUAUUAACAAUGCUAGAGGGAUCAAAGAUCAUAUGAAACACACUGGCAUAUAAAUCAGGGAGAUCAUAUGAAUGACAACGGCACAUAGGAACAUACAGUUAUGACCAUAGCAUAGCUCAGGAUCUCAAUAAGCUGUUGAUGCAUAAAUCCCAUGUUGCGGGUUCCAAAGAAACCUAUUGCACGAGGUCCUUGCUGCUGAAUAGCCAGAAGCUCCUGCAUGACCACAAAAUAAAUGAGACCAGUUCACAGGAUAAAUCAAUUCAUGAAGCCCAUAUAUGCUAAGUAGCAUUCAUUAUUGAAAUUCUGAUUGUAUCACACUAACUUUAAAAGGUUUAAUAACCACUAAAGUUAACUUUUAAUAGAAAAGUCAGUUCGGUAUAAAAUGAUAAAAAAAAGGUACCUGUAGGUAAUCUAGAUCUGGGAUCGCCUUGUAUUCUGGUUCAGCAACCAUUGCAGUGCCCUUUACAAGAGUCUCUACCUGAGUAGGAAUCUUUACACCAUCAUCAUCUGGCCCAAACAUAACAGUGUCAUCCCUUCCUUGACUGCUUACAUCACCUUCAUGGCCAUCUCUUCGCAUGUAUCCGCAGAGCAACUAUACGAGCACAAUAAAAACAGCCCUGGCAGUAAAUCAUUAGUGAAAACCAAAUAUAUUGUAGUAUAUAGAAAUAAAAAGACCAGUUUUUUUUUAAAAAAUAGGUUGAACCCAUAGCAAUUAGUCAAAAUUAGCUAUCAAGUAAUCCUGUAUCUAGAGUAACACCAUAGCACAAGAGAGGCUGCAGCCAUUUAAGACACAACCUAAAUUCACCAGGUGGAUUUAUAUGUGUGCUGUCGAUUUUAAACCCAACUCUCCAGAGACAUUGCGGAAAAUAUUGAAUAAAAGACAACAACAAAGCUGAUAAGAAUCACAAGUAUUGGAUUCUGAAUAAAUAAGGUCAAGCGGGAAAUAUUGAAUAAAAGACAACAACAAACCCAACUCUCCAGAGACAUUCCAAUGGAAUAUCAAAUAGAAACCCUACUUUAUCCUCUGAGCUACAUUGUUCACCUUUUGAGGCAUGCUACAGAAAAGCUAUAGCACAAUCACUUUUGGCAUGUAAUGAGAGUAGCCCACAUAAUAUAUGUGAAAAAUGGUUAACUUUCUGAAUGGUGUUUUUUUUAUCAUUUCCAGCCAGAAAGUUCCAUACCAACUGAUGUUUGGUAUUGAUCCGAAGCUGCUCUAUGAUUUAGCAGGCAUAGCUCACAUGCAGGGAAGGUGUGAAUGCCACUGUCCAAACUUUAGGCACAGGAUCUAAGCAGCAGAUACCAGCAACACAAGUAGGACUAGCUGUUACCAUGGACCGUAAAAAUAUCAAAUUUUGACUGAUUUUUUUCUUUUCUGAUGAGAAUUUUGGGUGAACAUUGGAGCUACGGUGAUACAGGCUGAUAUGGCAAUUUUGAUGCGACUACAAAUCUUGGUUAUUACACAUUGUAGAGAUUCAGCUUACGUAUAGGCUUGACAUGAAAAAACAAGAAUAACUGUUAAAUCCUUUGGCACACAAGGAAUUACCAUAGAAACCAAUACCGAUACAUACUCAAUCUGGGACCAUAUAAUCUGUUAUCUAUUAAUUGAUCUUUGAAGGUGUGUAAUAAUAAACAUCACAAAAUUGUCAUCACAGCAGCAAUGCAAUCGAGAAGCAGUUUAACACCAAAGCCAGAAAAAAAGAAGAAGAAAAGGUUCUAGUCCAACCCACGAAUCAUGCAGACGAAACAACAAAUCAGGUUUAUCUGUAGGAAGCAAGUACCCGGUUCAGAACACCCGGCGUCUGCUUCUUGGCCCCCAGAGCGCAUCCCAGCACGGCGGCGCCGCGACUCCGCGCGGCCGAGGAACAGGGCAAGAAGCCGCCAAGUCUGAGGUGAGUUGGCGGCGGCGUCCUCAACGAGGGAAGACCGGCAACGGGCGGCGCGGCGCAAGAACCCGCCAUCGUCAUCCACUUCCAGGCGUCGAUUCCAAUCCACGAAUAAGAGGGUGGGAGAGAAGCGCUUCAACUGAUGUGCGUGGCGGCGUUCUCGUGACCAGGCAAGGGUGGCUGCGCGGCGCGGCGCAGGUCAUGUGGGAGGGGAGGAGGAGGGCAUUGCUGGGUGGGCUGGGGAUGAGACGAGAGAGGAGAGGAGAGGAGACGGCACGGCACGGCACCAGUUGGGCUGAGGCCGCAACUGGCCGCAACUGGCUGGUUUGGUGGCUUCCUCUGGCGGCCUCGCUGGCUGCCUGGCUGCUGUGGUUGCUGGUGCGCGUGUGGGGAGGAGCUGGACGCCUUUGGAUAACAGGUGGCGCACCAUCUUGGCUUGCCCACUCUUUCUGUGUCAUCCCUCUCAUCUCUGCCGGCUGCCGCGGUAUUCUACGUUUAUUAUCUUGUACAUGUUGCUUUGGUGGAGCUAGUUUGUAGAUUAAUUAAAGAGUCUAAACUAUAAAUAGAAUGAAUUAUCUAAGCGCCCUCAGUGUAACCAGCUCUGAUCUAGGAUUUUUUUUUGAAGCUGCAAGUCCUAACUCAUGGUGGAGAUAGAGCUUUGCUAAAUGGAUUGUAAUAUUUUUUGUGUGACUGUUUUGGGGUUUCAUUUAGAAAUAGAAUGGAUAUAAGCUUUUACUAACAUACUAGAACAAAUAACACCCCUGUACAAACAAACUACAGUCUGUUUAGAUCUCAGCUGCUAAAACUUAGUAUUAUGUUUGGAUGCUAAUUAAAAAGACUAAUCAUGAACUAAUUUCAAAACUAAUUGCAUAAUCCACGGCUAAUUGAUGAUAUGAAUAUAUUAAUCCUAAUUAACCCUUAAUUAGCCUAUGUUUAUUGUAGCAUCAUAUAGGCAAAUCAUUGCUAAAUUAAGAUUAAUAGAUUCGUCUCGCUAAUUAGUCACCACUUAUGCAAUUAGUUCACAUUUGAUCCUUAAAUAUCAUCUAAACGUAGCGUUAAUUUUUAGUACUAAAGAACCAAACAGCCCCUGGAUGGGUUUGGAAGGUCUAGUGAGCUAGAGAAGUCGUGUGAGGGUUUGUUUGUUUCAUGUUUUCCCUAGCUUCUGUCAAUCAGAAAUCAAAGAAAAUUUGAAAAGCUGGCUUUUGCUUCUCUGAUUUUUUAUGUACUGAGAAGCUAAAAAUAUAUCACAAAUUCAGUAGCAAAGAGUCAAAAGCUAGAAACCCAGCUUUUGACCUAAAAGCCUAAAAGUAGUAGCUCAUACAAAUAGUCUCUCAAGUUUUGACCUAAAAGCCUAAAAGUUGUAGCUCAUACAAAUAGUCUCUCAAGUAUUUGAAUACUAAAUGAUCUUGAUAUGUCCAGUCACAACCACGUUUUUUUUAUGCUAUCAUAUGCAAUUUUCUGAUUCGUAGGUGGGAUAAUGUAACUGCUGAAGGUAUUUGUGCUGCCUGAGCCUUUCUUGAUGCCCCAAUUUUGUUAUUUGGUUCUGUUAUACUUUCUUAAUUCCUCGUGUGCACUGCGCAUAAACAAUCACUGACAAUAAGAAAUACUACCAAGUUCGAAGAACCAUAUGUUUCCCAGAUUAUUUGCUGACUGAACAUCACGCCAAAUAACGCCUGAUCCCACAAUUGAUCAGCAACCGAUUAUUACCAAAGCAUGGAGAUAUCAGGAUAUGUACAGCCGUGGAAUAGCUUGGCAAAGAAAUUGUUGCUCAAUCUAAUUUCAUUAACAGAGCGAAGCAAACGUUAUGUAUCUACAGUUCAUCAUGGGGUUUUGCCUUAUCAGUGGUAGCAGCAGGUUGCUGAUGCUCGAGUAGAUAGCGAGCUGCCAAAGCAGCUUGUGCAGCUGCACCAUAGGGGAGGGCAUCUUCGUUGAUGGUGAAGUAGGGGGAGUGAUGGGGCGCCUGCGGUCCACGAGUCUCAUUGUACAUGCCCACAAAGUAGUAGUAGGUUGAGGGGAUCGCCUCGGCAUAGAACGAGAAGUCCUCAGCACCCAUUAGCGGUUGUCUGUCCCUCACGUUCCUCGACCCAACCAUCUCGCUGGCCACAUUCACGAAGAAAUCAUGGAGCUCAGGGCUGUUGAUGGUUGGGGGGAAGAAUGGACGGUCCUUUGUGAGGAAGUCCACGCUAGCACUGCAGCGCUGCACGGAUGCUUGAGACACAAUCACCUGAGACAUGAAAAAUAAAGUAGCUGAAGUCCUCUAUCCUCUGCAGGACAAUCUACAGUGAAAUUUUAUCUGUAAGAUGUUUAUAACUCCAGAGGUGAAUAUAGCUGGGAACUCAGUGCAGGUGUCAAGAGUUCUGACCAUUGUGACCCAGAUGGCCAGAUAGUUCCAUAUACAAACCUACCAACCCAUAAUAACUAUGAGGAAACUGGUUUUGUAAGUUCAGUAAUACCAUUACCAAGGUGAAAGCUACAAGCCUACAGCUAUAUCUGUAAUUUUCAUUAAGAGUAAAGUGAAAGGAAAAAAACCUAUUACAAGUACUCAAACAGCAAAUUACAUGUGCGUCUGUAUCCAUGCAACUUUCCAAAAAUUGAGUUUAUUCAUGAGAAUAAGUGUGAGGAACUGCUCUUGUGCUCAAACUGACAGCAGUACAAUCUAACACAAAAGCAGAAUAACGGAAUGCACCAAAUUUAGAUGUGCAUCAGCUUAUUCGUUUAUAAUAUACCCUUGGUUGUAGUAUAUAUUUAAAUUAUGUGACAGCACAUAGAAUGUCGUGCCAGUGCCACUUGCAAAGUAUCCACUCCUCUAAAGCUAUCGAUGAAAUUCACAGAUCAAUCUGUUUUAAAUUACUAUUGUAGUUAGGUACAGUGACUAAUUAUCUUAACAGCAAAUUCAAGUAGCCAUAUAUCGAAGGUAAUUUUGAAUCCUUUUUUUUUCAUCUAAGAGAACCUAACCGCAGAAAAUAAUUAAGAAUUGACUACUGAAAGAGUAACACAAAGUUCCCAAACAAAUGCUCUUACCUCUUCAAUUCGCUGCUUCAAUUGAUUAAAACUCUCUUUCAGAAAGGCUCGGAAGGUGCCGCCUAUAGUAACUGAAUCAGGGAUCACAUUGAAGGCUCCACCUCCUUGAAACUUUCCAACUGUUACAACCUGCAGAACACAGCAUGGAUGCAAAUAAAAAAUCAUAAAGUGGACUACUGGAGUGUAAAUAAGGAUAAAUUGCCAAAGGUUCAACAUAACAAAAGUACAAUAGUCAAUGCACUGAACAAAAUGAUGGGAGCCUGGGAGUAAUGUAUUGAAUAAAAAAUUGUAUAAUUCUUGCGAUGCAAAAUCAUUUUUGCAUAUGAAACUACAAUUUCUGUAUUGAACAAUUUAAGAGUUUAGAACUUAAGUUUUGAAUAGUAUUAGCAAUAUCUGUGCUGCCUAGCUAUAACAAGUCCAGGAAAAUUCGGGCUGCCCUCCUUUGUAGUUUCCGUGUUAGGACCAGGAUAAAAAGUUCAACAAGAUCUCGAUGAAUUUCAAACAGAUCUCACAACACAUGGCAGAAUAAUUUUAUAUAGUUUGUUCUAUUCUGGUUCUGUAAUUUAGACCAACAGGACAACACAGGACAGAAAUUCUAUGGAAGGGAACUAUGUAGAUCAUAAAAAUGGAUAUAGACAACGUCAAUCAACAAAUUGCUUCCAUGCUUGGAAAUUUAUGGCAUAUAAGAACAAAUUAAGUCAGCCAAGGAUACGGAGGGUACCUGUGAGUCCAAGGGAUCAGCUUCUCGGGAAACAAGUUGCUGAAGGCUCACAAUAACAUUUGAGGCAGCCAAUAUCGGAUCUAUAGUGUGAUGAGGAAGUGCAGCAUGCCCUCCCUUUCCACUUAUUACGGCCUCAAAGAAUCCACUCCCAGCCAUAAUAGGCCCUGGCCUGGAUGCCAGUACACCAAUAGGCACAGAAUCAGCUAUAUGAAGCCCAAAAAUGGCAUCUAUGUUUUCCAGAGCUCCAGCUUCUAUCAUUUUCUGGGCCCCACCGCCACCUUCCUCAGCUGGUUGGAAAACAAGAACCACUGUACCCUACAUUAAUAAACAAAAUUUAUAACCAUAGAAACUCAAGGGUGACUAAAAUUCAAAGAUUACAAGACAGUUCAUAUAACUGAUAUGGAGGCAACUGAACUAGUGAUUUAAUCAUAGUUUGAGAAAAAAAAACUAAGCAAUUUAAUAAGAUUGCUCAAUGUGGACUUCUAGGAUUAGUUGUGUGCUUCCUAAACAUAAUUACUUAAACCAAUAUUGGCUGACUUAAUGUGGAUGCACGCUUUCCCUACAAAAAGAAACAUAAGCAAUUGAUUAAAGGCAUCUAUUGUAGCAAAUAAAAAGGCAUAGAAAGAGCAAUGUAUUAUUGCAUUUCAUAGAUCUACACCUGAGACAAAAAAAAUGACUUCCCUAGAAUAAAAGAAGCUACCUCUUACAGAUAUAGCAUCCAUUUUAAGUUAUACAAAAUAUAAGGAAGCUACCAGUAGACUAUAUUAUGAUACACUCUGUAGUCUUGGGAUCAUGACAUUAAAAGGUAAAACUGGGUAAGAACUACUAGAUGAGAUAUUUAUUUUUAAACAAACAAAAACUCCAAAGAAAAAAAAAAACAGGCUCUGCAUCUUUAUCAUUUUUCCAAAUCUACAAAGGAUUGCGAACAUGUAGCUUAAUGCAAUGAAAGCAAGAAAAGGAUUGCAAUAUACAAAUGUUAAACAUCUUAUAUAGUUUUUAAGGCUAUUCUAUCAUUAUUUAAUCAACAAAUCUCUCUUAUGAUUGCCACAAAUAUAGAGCAGGUGCAAGGUAAACCAUCAAAAUUAAUACAUAUAUACCACUAGAAACAAUACAUCAAAUCAAACAGAUAUCCAUGUUUGCCAAAAUGAAGGAUUGGACAUCCAAACAACUCUUGCUAAUACUCAUACUUUUAACAAUCAAUGAUUUAUCCAUAUUUAAAUUUAUUCAGAUAUCUCACUCGAAGUUUGAAGAGAGAAUUUCAAAUAUUUCAAAACUUUUCAUUGCACACUGAGAAAUUUGCAUUGCUUUAUAUACAGAAAAUAUUUUAACCAACCUUCAACUCAUCACGAUGCUCCUGAAGAAUCUUAGCAGAUCCCAACAGCAUAGCAACAUGUGCAUCAUGUCCACAACCAUGCAUCUUCCCGGGAACUUUGCUCUUGUGUUCCCAUUCCACACUUUCCUGUAAAACAGGACACCAAUUUUAACUGGUAGACAAAUACAAGAUAAUCAUACUUCUUUGAACAGAUGUAGCUUACUAUAAUUAAAUUAUCAAGAAAAUAAUUGAAAUUUGAUCCUACAAUAAUAUUCAAUUUUGGAGAUUAGUACAUUGAGAAGCAACUCUCAACAUGCAAUCAAUUCAACCUGUACGAAAUAUGGACCUAUGACACUACAAAAAAUACAUACAGAACAUAUCAAUAGCAGGUUGUUAGAGAGCUGGUAAAACAAAAAAAGAAAGAAGAUAUUGAUUUUCACAUUCACCAAUAGAAGAGAUCAUGCUCAUGUGCACAAUAAAUUCAAUCAUAUCAAUCAGGUUCAAGAAGAACAAAAUAAUUAUGCAAUACACAAAAUUACAUAUUUGUCUGGUCAAUCACCACCUGGAACAUGACCGAAGGCUCAUAUGACUGUUAUAGAUACACAUAGGCAGCCCAUGUGAUUCAUCAUUUCAGUAAGAAGCCAAAGUUCUUUUUUCUGCACUGUAUGUUCCUAAUCAGGAAGGGCAGCUAGGGAACUACCUAGGAGUAGGUGCACACCUGUUCCUCCCUUUUGUUACCAGUGACCAGGAUGUCUGCCAUGAAUGAAUGAACUAUAGUACAUAUGCAUACUCCUACUCGAUACUUCAAUACUAGAUCAUUUCCAUAUCGCACGUGCUGUCCUCGAUGGUCAUUAGUCCUUACUAGUACUUUGUAUUGCGCCGCAACAAAUUUCAAUGGAUAAGGAAUUCUAAAAAAGAAACCAAUGACGAAAUUUUAGCUUUCUGGUGACCACAAUUCCUUUGAAUCCCUGGCGUUCCUCUUCCCUUGACUAAGUCAAAUUUAGUUUUGUAGCCACUAGAAGUCUAGAAGUGUGCAGGUCGUUUUUAUAAUCCAAGCUCUUGGUUGAAACAGAAACGGAUUCGAUAACCAGAGCAGAGACAUUUGCCUCUAUCCUUAGGAAAAGCCAGCAAUAAUUUAUUUCCCAGAACCCGCAGCGAAAUCAAGAAGCAGAGGAAGAGCAGCCAAGGGCCAGCGUAACCGGAGAAGAAGAAAAGAAAAAAAAAGGAAGGCGGUUACAGUUCCAGUCCCAGACCUGCAAGGGCAGCGCGUCCAUGUCCGCGCGCAGAGCGACGAAGGGCGGGCCGCCGGUGCCGACUGUUGCCACGACGCCGGUGACGGCGAAGGGGUGCCUGUAGGGGAUCCCCAGUGCGUCGAGCUCCCGGCGCACGAGCUCGCUGGUCUGGAACUCCUCGUAUCCCAGCUCCGGGUUCUCGUGGAUCCGCCGCCGCACCCCGACCAUCCAGUCCGCGAACGCCGGCUCCUUGGCCCUGCGCAGGAGCUCCGCCGGGUCCUGCAGCGCCGCCGGCGCCGCAGCUAGGGACGGCCAGACGGCGGCGGCGACGACGGCGAGGGCGAGGCCCGCGAGCAGGAGAGGCGGCGCCGCGGCGGCCAUGGGUUGUUGGCUCGGGUGGGUCUGGUUCGCUGACGAGGCGGAAGGAAUCAGGUGAGAGCGAGACACGACAGUGAAGCCGGCCGGCCUUGCUUUUGACGCAAGCGCGCACGAGGGCGGCGCCUGGACCCUUUUCAUUUUGAUCACGAUCUUUUUUUCCCUGGCUUUUUCCAGAUUCAUUCAUGCAAGUGCGAUUUUUUUGUGGCGCUCUGCGGGCGUGUGCGAUCAUUUCUGCUUUUGAUUGUCUGUCCCUCUCGGGUAGUCUUUUGUUUCAAGACGUCUACGACUCUUGGUUGUAUGUGGGCCUUUGUUUACUUCUCGAAAAAAUUUGUAAAAUAAUACUGUAAUGUUUUUUAUAUAUAAUAAUUAUUAUUUAAUUAUAAAUUAAUUAGAUUUUAAAAUUUUAUCUUGCAAAUUGUAUGUAAAGUUGUAAACUAUGCAAGUUAGUUAUUUUUUAUUUAUAUUUAAUGUUUUAUACAUUUAUUAUAAGAUUCAAUGUAACGAGAAACGGUAACGAUACCUAUAAGACGUCCGUCCGUCUAAACGUUGUUGUCCACUCAUUUUGUUGCUCUCCCACGCCUUCUUAUCUACUCAUUUUUUCAUCCCCACUCUUCUCUCACAUCUCGCUGCUAUUUCCACCGCUCGCACCAUGCGGUCGCCCUUUCUGCCAUGCGCGAGCCGCUCCUCCCUCUUUUUCUCCCUCCCUCCCCGCUGCGACCCACACGCCCUCCAUGCCGCCGGAGUAGAGCACAAUGGUGGCGGCUUUCAGUGAGCGGCGCAACUCCCUUCCUUCCUGCUCUUUCUCCCUCGCUCUCGUGACCCCCAUGCAUCUGGAGAUAGAGACAACGACGCGGCUCCGACGGUGGGGGAGGGAUUUGGAUCCGAAGCCUUUCUCUCCCUUUUCCCUCUCUCCUCUUGUGGACCGGUUCUGAGCCCUCCUCUGCUCCUCCUCCACCUCUUGCUCCUCCUGCUCUUCCUCUGGGAUCUAGAUCUACCGGAUAUUGUGUUGGCUAGGGUUUCGGCGAGCUCUUGGGAUUCAGUGCUCGUACGUGUUGUAAUGGUGUUCUCUGGUUUUUGCAGUAUGUUUUUCAGGUGAUGUUGCAGUAGGAUAGGGUUCCGACGAGCUCCUAGUUUCAGAUCUCGUCAUUGUUGCAAUGGUUCUAUCUAGACGUUACAGUAGGUUUUAGUCGUUGUUGCAGUUUUGUGUUUGAGAUGUUUCAGUUGCUUCAGUCUGCAUGUUGUAGUAGUUUGUUUUAUGUUGUUACAACAUUUGUUCGGUGUUGUUGUAGUACUAUAUCCAUGGUGUUUUAGUUGCUCCAUCCAAUGCUUUAAUCUGCAUUGUUGUAUUAGUUGUUGCAUGUUGUUGCAACAGUUGGUCGAUGUUGUUGUAAUACUAUGUCUAUGGUGUUUCGGUUGCUCCAUCUAAUGCUUCAACCUAUACUGUUGUAUUAGUUGUUACAUGUUGUUGCAAUAACUGUUCUUUGUUGUUGUAAUACUAUAUUUAUGGUGUUUUAGCUGUUCUAUCCAAUACUUCAAUCCGUAUGUUGUAGUAGUUGUUUGCAUGCUGUUGCAGCAAUUGUUCUUGUUUGUUGUAAUACGAUAUUUAUGAUGUUUCAGCUACUUCAACUUGUUUGUUGUAGCGGUAUGUCAGGUGUUGUUGCACUAUUAUACAUAUUGUGUUGCAGCGUCAAGUAUGGAGAUAGGUUGUAGGGACGAGUUAGCGGCAGGCAGAUCUGCUAGGGGCCGAUAAAGCGAGGGGUAGGGCGGAUCCCAUGCUCGUUGGGGCGGAGGAUGGGCUCCUUGCGCGGGGAACAGACGAAGUGUGGUCCUCUGUGUGGGGCGAGUGGGGCAGAGGUAAGUUGGUUGGGAGAGAGCGGAUAAGAAACGGUCUUCCGGGCGGGACGAGUGGAGCAGAGCUGAGUUGGUUAGAGGCGGAUGGGGUUUUCUUUUUUUCUGUGGCGCGGGUGGGGGGCUCGCCGUCCGGACGCGUUGUUGGCGCCAGACGUCCGGGCGCUAGCAGUUCCAAAUGAGAAAUAUUGAAUAUUUUGCAAAAAAAUUUCGGAGAGUAAGAGGGUGUUUUGGGACUGCUCCACAAACUCUACUCCAUAAACUCUACCAUGGAGCAGUUUCACAAAAAAAACUGGAGUUUGUAGAGUACCUCUUUAGGUGCUCUCACAACUCCACCCAUUUUCCUCGAACUGAGUGCGUGGAGUUGAAACUGUUUGGCUAAAAAACGUGGAGUGAGGUUGAAAAACGUAGAGCAGAGCAGUCCUAAACACCCCCUAAACAAGGCCAUGUACCGAGGCUUUGUUUUGGUAAAAAAAUUUUGAGUUUAGCUAUUGUAGCAUGUUCAUUUAUAUUUACAAUUAUUGUCAAUCAUGAGUUUAAAAAUUUUGUCUCAUAAAUUACAGAUAAAUUAUAUAAUUAUAUAUUUAAUAUUUCAUAUAUGUAUCUAAAGAUUCGAUAUGACAAAAUUAAAUUUUGAGAAACUUUUGCGAACUAAACAACACCUGGUGAGGGACUUGCCUCAAGCAAGUUACGUCGUAACUUAUGGGCCUGCAUCGGACGUGGAAAGAACAUCUGACACUUAAGAACAGCUUGCUUCGUCUUUUCAUGAUGCAGCUGUCGCCCAUCCACGUCGCGUCGUGCCUAAUGAUUUCCAAACGUGCCGCCAUGGCACUAUACGGCCUUAGCCCGGCUAGGCACGGCACGCCUCGGCACGGUAUAAGAAGCGUGUCAUGCCGUGUCGUGCCACCGUGCCGUAAUGUUGGCCCAGGCACGACGCUAAAGAGUCUAAACCAUGCCUAACGUGCCGUGUCGGCAUGCCGGACUCUAAAACGUGCCUAACGUGCCGUGUCGGCACGCCAGCCCAGCGUGCCCAUGCCGGCCCUGGCAUUGAUUUCACAAAAACACUCAUUCAAUUUAAAAAUCCACUAGAUAACUCCUAAGUCAUCAAAAUCAUCACAAAAUUCAAGGGAAAUCAACAAGCAAAGAACCAGGCAAGUUUUGAAACUAAAACUAAUUAAAAAAGGAGUUGUGCAAUAGCUACCUCAUUAAAAACUUGUUUAGGUAAAACUCACCCUUGUUAGAAACCCUAAAGUAGGAAAAGAGUACAACCAGCUCCAAAUAUUGUUCAUAGGUUCAUUACAUUCAUCAUCCAAUAUUUCCAUGUCCUAACAACUAUUACAAAACCAUUACAUAAAUUGAAAACUUAAUCAACAUCAAGAUAAAGUGCUUCAAAGGCCUCUUCCAGCUCUUUAUCUUCCACCAUGUGCUAUAGUCUUGAUUUAGCAUUCUCCUAGUCUUUGAUGCAUGUAAGUGCCUCCACAGUCUCAGGAUUCAGACUUCGGCGACACUCCUCGAUGAUCCUGCCAGUAGUGCUAAAGGUAGAUUUUGAAGAGAUGGUUGACAUAGGCACAAUAAAGACACCUUUUACAAGAAUAGAAAGCACAGGAUAAGUAAGCUUAUGCUCAUGCCACCAUUGCAUGAGAUCAAAGUCAUCAUCUAACUGGAUCACAAUGUCCGAGUCCAGGUAGGUGGCAAGCUCACUAGAGUUAGGAGCAGAAGCUGCCUGUAGUAAAGAAGUGGCAGACACACCUCUUGACUGAUCGAGAUUAGGAGGAAGGGAAGCACAGCCAGCCCCAAUAUCAAGCUCAUCAUCAUCAUAAAUGUCAGCCCAAGCUAUUCUUUUCUUACCAGAAAGGGAUACAAGAACAAUCCUUUUGAGCCUAACAGAGCCAUGCAUUACAUCAUACAUGUUAUACAUUUUAAAAAGAAGAGCUCUUGUGUCCAGCAACUUAUUGGUGCAAUCAACAUUAAAAAGAGAAUUCAACUUUCUAAGCACUUUGGUAAAGCCCUUCAUCUUAGCUCUUGGAUCUAGUAUGAAUGCAAUAGAAUAAAGAUCAGGUUUGUUCUUCUAGUAUUUAUUAUAUUUGUCAAUCAUAGACUGCACAACGGCUCUUAGGUGUUCAUCAUGUUGGUAUUUAUGUAGGUGAAUAGCAAUCUUUACAAUAUGAUAAAUCAUAAGUGGUAGUACACACCAGAUAAAUCAACAGUGGAGUUAUAAAACAGUUCAAGAAAUUGUAACAUCUUACUAGCCAUUUCCCAGUGAUCAUCAAUCAACAGGAAAGGACCACGAGGUGCUCUAGGAUUGAAAGAGCAUCUAGGCCCCUAAUGAUUUCGGUGAUUAAUGACAAUGUUGAUUACUAUGACUAACGUGUAUUUUGCAGAGGCAAAGUCAUUUGUGAGGUCAUGGUAAUAGGUACUCGAUGGACAGGGACGUACAUGCCUACUUAAUAGUGGAAAUCAUUUCGGUUUUCAAAGGAUGGAUGGACAUCGUCAAGACUAGACUAGGUCUAAGUGCCAUAUGGUGAAGAAGGGCACUUAGAGUAGUUUAGGACAUUGUUUUCCUUUGACCGUACUAUUAAGAGGGGCUUUGAUCUAGUAGCUUGACUUAGGCAAGGCUUUAGGUUUAGGUGUAGUGCACACUUGGUAAACCUAGCACUAGGCAGCUCAAAGAUAGUCCUUAGAUCGAGAGGAACCAACUUUGUUUUGGAGCGAUCGUGUUUCGAUGAAGUUAGGGUGCCCAAGGGGGCACCGGACGCUGCACCGGACGCUCUAUGAGUGCGUCCAGUGAGGUCCUUAGCCGUUGGGAGUUUUCGGUGCCUAGGGUUAGGCACCGGACGCUGGCACCGGACUCACCGGGCAGCGUUCGGUCCCACACCCAGGGAGGUUGCAAACUUCCUCUGAGCACCGGACGCUAGCACCGGACGCACCGGGUAGCGUCCGGUCCCAUACUCAGGGAGUUUGUAAAACUCCUCGGAGCACCGGACGGUGCCACCGGAUGCUGAGGGUUAGCAUCCGGUGACCUGUCAGAUGCAGAUACAGUUAGCCGUUGUGGGGCACCGGACGCUCGGUGCAGAGCGUCCGGCGCAACAUUAACAGCGUCCGGUGACCCCGUUUUCAGUGGAAAACGGUUGGCUGACCUUUAGACUUCGUGAGGUGUAUUUAUACUCCUCCUCCUCGUCCAUGAGAGGUCUCUUGCCCAUUUGAAGAUCUGAGAAACUUGUUGUGGAGCAAGAGAGCAGCAAGAGCCUAGAGAAGAGUGAGAUUUGAGUGAUUUCUUGAGAGAAUCAUUCUUUGGUGAAUUCCAAGAGUCAAGUGUGCAUCCACCACUCUCUAGAGCCUUGUUUGGGUCAAGUGAGAGUUCUUUGCUUGUUACUCUUGGUGAUCGCCAUCACCUAGACGGUUCGGUGGUGAUUGGAGGCACGAAGACCGCCCGAAGUUUUUGUGGGUGGCUCGUGUCAAGCUUGUGAGCGGUUUUGGGCGAUUCACCAUGACGGAGUGUCGAAGAAUCAGCCCGUAGAGAGCACUUGGUCCUUGCGCGGACCAAGGGGGAGCAAGACCAUUGCGCGGGUGCUCCAACGAGGACUAGUGGAGAGUGGCGACUCUCCGAUACCUCGGCAAAAUAUCGCCGAGCACUUUCUUCCACUACUCCUUUACAUUCUAGCAUUUACUUUGUGUCUUUACAUUCUUAAUAUUUCCAUGCUAGAAUAGGAUUGGAACUAGGUUACAAAACUUUUAUCCGGUAGCUCUCUAGUCACACUAGGCACAAGGGGUUGAAUUGGAGCUUAUAGGUUGCUUAAAUUUUUAGAGAAGCCCAAUUCACCCCCCUCUUGGGCAUCUUGAUCCUUUCAAGGAUAAUUAGCAUCAAUAAAAGUACUAAAAGUACUCCAGUGAGGUAACAAUAUUUUCAGCAUAAGGUAGGUGAAGUUCCACCUCACAUCCAUGUCUAGUGAGAACUUCCUAGGUCUAACAGAUGAAGCAAUGCAAUAACUCUUGUAUGCAACAAUUCUUCGAUUAGAUGAGUUCAAAAAAGAGAUUGCAGUUCUAAAGUUGUCAAUGAGAGGAGUAACAGCAACCAUUGCUUCCUUAACAAUCAGGUUAAUAAUAUGACAAGCACAUCUUUGAUGCAAAAACAGAUCAGCACCUAAAUACUUUUUCAGUAUAGGUUUCAGUUUAUCCAUGGCAUUUUUAUUGGCAGAUGCGUUAUCCAAAGUCAUAGAGAAAACCUUGUUGAGUAUACCAUACUCAGCAAGGACAGUUUUAACACGCUCAACAAUGUUAUCAACAUUAUGUGAAAUAUCAAUCAACCUUAAACCAAGCACUCUUUUCUCUAAUUGUCAAUCAAAAUUAAUGAAUUGAGCCACAACAGACAGAUAAUCUUCUUUGGCCUUUCCAGACCAAAUGUCAGAGGUAACAGCAACAGAUGACACAACAUUAUCUUGCAAACAAGCAAUCAACUUUUCACGUUGGGCAUUAAAGUACUUAAACAUAUCUCUACCAGUUGUUUGCUUAGACAUAGGAUUAAAAGCAGGAUUAGGAGCCUUUUCAUGAAUUCUUUAAAUGCUUCUGUUUCACCAAGCAUUAAGGGCAAAUCUAGCCUAGCAAGCAUACGAACAAGCUCAACAUGAGCGAGAUCAAAAUUGUAACUCUAGCUUCUAACAGUUCCAUUAGGAUUUGUUGGUGCAAAAACUGAUCUGCAAACACAAAGGGCUAAUACCCGAUUCAAACGUUAAGGCGUGCCAGCCGAUUUGACCUUACUAUCGGCAAAGGUGGUAACUCGAACACUUUGGUCCCGACAACAGCGAUGCGCCCGGAUGUCGCGGCCAAGAGGUAUUCACGCGGAACUCGAGAACACGCCGAGCUUAAGUCGACGAAUUCCUAAGAACUCGUAAUGAAAGGAAAAAGUAUGACGAAGCCGUCGAAAAAGUAGAUGCUGGAAUAUGAGUAAAAACUUGUGUUUGAUUGAUUGAUCGAUGUCCCUAUUACAAAGCUCUAGAGUCUACAUUUAUACCCUGCUUAAAGAGCCACAACUAGACACGACUAGAAUUCGAAUUCCAAAUUUAAAUAGAAUCCGUGUACAAAACGAUCUAAAUAACUAAGGAAAACAUAAAGCUAUCCCCAGUGACAAACUGGAACUCCUCCACAAACCGAUCGGCAAUUUCCAGACUCUUCCCCCAUAUCAUCGGCAGACUCCCUUGUCGUAGCCAUCGGUACAAAUACGUCGUCACCUCUCAACCAUCCUUCCAUCGGCAACCACCACCAUCGGCAACUCACCCUGUAGAUCAAGCACCACCAUCUCAUCUUGCCGAUCCACGCUUUACCGAUCAUGGACACGUGCCCAAAAACGGUGUCAACACAUGCCCCCCAAUUUUGGAGUAUGAAAUCAUUAAUGCUCCGAAAUUCUCUACAGUAAUGAUGCCCUUUUUCCGCAAUUAAUGCUCCUAAUCUGGUAACCGACAGCCUCAAUCUGAACAACCCCGAUCCUAUUCUUCUGCAGAUUCCUCGAAAUCCUUAACUUUCCCAAACGGACAUUUCCACUUCGAUCGCACAUCGGCAAUAUGACCGUUACAGAAGCUUGCCGAUGGACGUUCGUAUCUUAUCCCUCCAAACGGCUAUCUCCAUAUUACUCUCCCAUCAACAAUAUGACCGUUACCAGGCGCUGCCGAUGGACCGACCAGGAGAUUUCGCACAGUAAAAUAUCUCUGGAUAAUGACCGCUUCCUGUCCAGUCACCUACACAAUCCCUUGAUUAUCAUGCGAACAGUUACCAAAUCUGCCUGAGCACCCUCAAAUUUCACGGAUAUGGCGAAGAGCUAAGUCAAUUUUGCCCCCGCCCAUUUUGUCCUAUAAAUAGUUCCUUCUCGGGUACUCCUUCUCCAUCAUAUCAUUCCACAGCCCCAACUUUACUUUCCCGGUGGCGGCACUCUUCAAGGUCUCCCAGAUCUUCGACAAAGUCCCUUCUCCACCAACUCCGAAGCCCUCAAUCAUCCUCCUCGUAGCAAAAUGGCCGUCAACUUCAUCGUCCCUGAGGUCUGUUCUUCAUCCCAUCUCCUGUACUUUUUCUCGCACCCCUGUUCAUCUGGAAUCCAUCUUACUGAAUAUAUUUUUUUUAUUUCUCUUUUCCCCUUUUUUUACCUUCAAAAUCAUUAGGAUUCGGCCAACAAAAUUGUCAUUCCCACCGAUCAACCACAUCUCCAAUGCCUUGGCCAGUUAGGGGACCCAGAUCCAACCGAUCUCAUUAACGCAGAAACCAACAGGAUUCCUUUUAUGGCUGAGAACUUUUCUUUGGAUCUGUGGAAGGACGCUUUCCGUUCUUGGCCUAGCCCUACUGUAGGAUGGACAGAUUGGUUUUUGAGAGUCAGCAACUCAAAUGAGGUCCAGUGGGGUGAGAGAAAGUUAGACCAAUGCAUUAGGUUGUCCAUUGCCGAUAUGCAUAGGAAUGAAUCACUACUGAUAGCAGCAUCAUACUUUUGGUCAGACACCCUCAAUGCCUUUGUCUUUGGUCACGGUCCUGCUUCCCCUACACUUGCCGAUGUAGCUAUGCUCACUGGCCUGGAUGUAUCCUCUGCCGAUAGCACCCAUUUCUUUGAUACCAAACCCAAAGCCAAGGUAGAAACUCGUGCCAUCGGCGGUUGGUCGGGGUACAUACAAAAGUACCGCAAAACAGGCCCUGUCAACGUAAAAGAACAGACUUGCUUCCUGAACAUGUGGCUAGACAAAUUCGUGUUUUGCGGGCGAUCGGCAGGACCAACCUCGGUCUACUUAGCAGCAGAAGAAAAUCUGGCCGAUGGUGGCCGAUUUCCUCUUGGCCGAUACCUGCUUGGUGCAGCUUACCACCUCCUUCACCAAGUGACCAGGAAACUCUUACUCGGCCAGUCCAUCGGCAACUUGGGAGGUCCCUGGUGGUUCAUCAACAUGUGGCUCAACCUCCAUCUGCACAAGCGUUUGCAAUUCAACCUCUUUGCACAGCGCUUCCCAAGGGACAUAGCCGAGAACUAUGUGUUGGAUGAAGAAGAAUCGGCAACACGCCCUCCCUUGAACUUCAGUGAAGUUGUCAUAGUUCUGCCUGGUACAGGGGGUAAUCCAGAUCAGGUCAGCCGAUUCUUCCAAACUUUGUAUGAAGGUUUCUCCAGAGAUGAGCGAGCAUGGUUGGCCUACGAUGACCCAGACAGUAUGCUUCCCCUGGUUUUCAACCCGUUCAACGACGCUCUUGACAAGGACAAUGAAGUGAUGAUGGCAUUGGUGACCCCCAGAGCCAUACCGGUGAACUUCUUUGGUAGUGGGAAAACCUCCCCCCAGACUUAUGAGUUUUACAACCCAUCGGGACUAGCUCGUCAGUUAGCUUUCGGCUAGCUGCCGAUUGCACUCUGCUAUGCCGAUGUAAUAAAGCCCAGGGAAACCAUCACCAGUCUCCUUGAAUGGAUUCGAGUAGCCCAACUGCCAUCGAGUGCCGAUACAAAUGUAGACUUAUCGGAUUGGGUUCCAGCCGCCUUCAUUACCCAGGCGUACAAGCAGUGGUGGGCAGAAUGGAAGGAGCAUCUAUUCUGCAAAUCAGCUCUCACGUACCGCGGUAUGAUCGACUCCAAGUACAAAGUCCCCGAUGAUAUUGUAAGUGUCCUUAAACCAAUGUUCCAAUUCUUCCAAUUUCAUUUUCAUCGGUAAUUUACCUUUGUAUUAUUUUGCAGGUCGAUAACACCCCUCCAUCGGUCAGUAGAAGUGGCAAGCCGAUUGAUCUGUUUGCAUCAGGUCCAAUUUCUUCAAUCGGCCACAACGCCCCUACCCUGGCCGCCAUCGUGCACCGAAGCAUACGCCUCAAGAAAGUCACCACCAGGAGAACCCAAACAUCACCAUCGGUAGCUGCUUCCACCCUAGCACAGGCUUUUAAGGUAACUGUUUAAAACUCUUUAUUCAUACCGAUCUACCUUUGCGCAUCGGCUAUAUUGGUAUUCACAAACUCUCUUUUCUGUAACAGCAAACCAGUGCAUCGGCAAGAACUAAAAGCCAAGGUGCCGAUGCCCCCCAGUCCAGCCAGCAGAAGAGAAAAGGUACCAAGAGUACCAGGGCACAAACCAAGCGCCAGAAAGUGGCAACUCCUCCUCCUCCUCCUCCUCCUCCGGUAUCUCCCAUUCCGGUGGAAUCCUCUCCUUCUCCCCAAGAAACAGAGACUCAGCAAGUACCAUCUCCUCAACCGCAAGAAGCGCCGCAAGCGGAAGAACCUCAGCAAGAAGAACCUCAACUAGAAGCACCCUAGCCAGAAGACACAUCAGCGAUGUAGGCGAGCAAACCGCUGAUCCGGCAAGUUCAAUCAUAUCAUCGGUAGUCUCUUCAAUCCAGACAAGCAUCAUCUCUCCUCAAGGUAACACAUUCCUAUAACAUUACUGCCAAUGAACUUAUUCUCUUUGGUAUUAUAACUCCUUCUGUUAAUUUGCAGCUGACGUGGUUCCAUCGGCAACUCUGGCUGAUCAACCCAUGGCUCCAUCGGCGUCUUCGAGUCAGAGGCAAGAAAUUGCCUUGAAACAAGUAAGUCACCCAAUCUUCAUCAAUAUUAUUUGCCGAUGUUCUAACCACAGAAUGACUCACUUUGUCUUCCUUUUUAGGAACAGGAUUCUCCUGACAGCCUAUUCUCCUUUGCUAUUGAUAUCUCCGAGGACGAAGGCGAGGAAGCAAGUUCCUACCGGGCAGUUGGGAUCGCAUCGGCAGAGAUCAGGACCAAGCUGGAAGAACUGUCGGCUCUCCUCCAUCAAGAUACAGCACAACUGGUCAAUGACUCUGACCCAGCCAAGGUUCUAUUCAAGACCCUCAGAGGCCAGAUUCCUGCCGAUGCCGAGGAAGCCCUUUUCUAGGUCGCACAUCUGGAAAGUCGUCAGCUGUAAUAUCAGAGGGCCGUCCGGCGCCUCGCCGAUAGGGCUGCUCAGACCCGGCUCUCUGAAGAGAUGAUGCAAGAUAAGCUCUUGACCGAUGAGAAGCACAAGAACAUCGGCACCCUGAAGUCCUCAGGAGACGCACUAAAACAGAAGAUCUCCGACCUAUCGGCAAAACGAGAAGCCCUGUUGGCAGAACUCAAAUAGGUGGAGGAUGCCCUGUCCCAAGCCCAACAGGAAGAAAACCAACUGCCAGAGACCAUCAAGCUCCUCGAGCAAGAACGAAACACCCAUGGUCGCAAAGCACUGCAGUUAAAGAAGAAACUGAAGCCGAUAGAAGGCUCUGCCGAUGAAGACGUCAAGGAAAUAGAAGCAGCCGACCAGAUCCGCCUACGCGCUAUAUCGGCCAUCCAAGCGCUGCUAAGUAUGUGAGCUCUUCAUCGGCAACACACCUGUCUCUUCCUGCUCUUCAGCUUUCUUGAUGUUUUAGUCUAGCCGAUAGGACUGUUAUCGGCAUCUUUUGAAACAUUAAGUCCUGCCCCAAACAUUUUAAUCCAGCCGAUAGGAGUGUUAUCAAAAUUUAAACUUUUAUGCAUCGACCCAUAUGCUGGGGUAGUACUUCUUUAAAUACUUGCCAUUUAAUGCUCUGGAAAAUUCAACUCCUUCGAGAGUUUCUAAAAUGUAGGCAUUACCAGGAGCCGAUCGACUUAUCCGAUAGGGACCUUCCCAAUUAGGAGACCACUUCCCAAACUUUGAACUUUUAGUCCCGAUCGGUAGGAUUAACUUCCAUACCAAGUCUCCAUCGGCAAAUUCCUUAGCCUUUACCUUCUUAUCAUACCAUCUGGCAACUCUUUUCUUAUUCUCUUCUAAACUCAUCAAAGCCCUCAACCGAUGCUCUGCUAAAUCAUCCAACUUGUCUGUCAUCAAAGUAGCAUAAUCAUCGGCAGUCAAUUGAUCUUGAAAAGAUAGUCGCCUAGAUCCAGCCUUAAUCUCCCAAGGCAACACUGCAUCGUGUCCAUACACUAACUGAUAAGGCGAAACCUUGGUUGAUCCAUGACAAGCCAUUCGAUAGGACCAUAAAGCUUCACUUAAUAAUAUGUGCCACCGCUUAAGAUUUUCUUCAAUUUUUCGUUUGAUGAGCUUGAUAAUUCCCUUGUUAGACGCUUUGGCCUGUCCAUUAGCUUGAGCAUAAUAAGGAGAAGAGUUCAGCACCUUAAUUCCCAUACCGAUUGCGAAUUCAUCAAAUUCUCCUGAUGUGAACAUAGUACCCUGAUCGGUAGUAAUUGUCUGAGGAAUCCCAAACUGGUAAAUAAUGUGCUCCUUAACAAAAUCAAUCAUAUUAGCCGAGGUGACUUUCUUCAAAGGAAUAGCUUCAACCCAUUUAGUGAAAUAAUCGGUGGCAACUAGAAUAAACUUAUGCCCUUUGCUAGACGGUGGAUAAAUCUGGCCGAUCAAAUCAAUAGCCCAUCCCCUGAACGGCCAAGGUUUGAUAAUAGGAUUCAUAGCCGAUGCGGGUGCUCUUUGAAUAUUGCCAAAUUUUUGACACCCUUGACAUCCCUUGAAAUAUUUAAAGUAAUCCUCAAGUAUGGUCGGCCAGUAAUACCCAAUCCUUCUAAUCAUCCACUUCAUCUUGAAAGCCGACUGAUGUGCUCCACAUACCCCUUCAUGGAUUUCUCCCAUCAAACUUCUAGCUUCAUCAUCACCCAAGCAUUGGAGAAGAAUUCCAUCAAUAGUUCGGUAGUACAAUUCAUCUUCGAGGAGUACAUAUUUGGUGGCUUGAAACCGAACUCGCCUUUCCACUCUCUUAGAUGGAUCUUUCAAAUAAUCAACGAUUUCUUUCCUCCAAUCAUCGGCACCAAUUGCCGAUAUUGCAUCGAUCAUAGGCUGAUAUCCCGAGGCAUGCUGAGCCAACCGAUUGGCUUCUUUAUUAUGUAAUCGAGGAACAUACUCUAAUCGGAAAUCCUUGAAUUCCCUAAAUAAUUGCAUACUCCGCUCGUAAUAAAUUAUGAGAACUUCACUUCGGCAUUCAUAGCUUCCAGCCAAUUGAUUUAUAACCAGCAUAGAAUCCCUGAAGAUUUCGACAGCAUCAGCACAGACCUCCCUUAACAAUUUCAGUCCUUUUAUUAAAGCUUGAUACUCAGCCUGAUUAUUCGUUGACGUGGCAACAAUCGGCAAGGAAAACUCGUACUUCCUUCCCCGAGGGGAAAUUAAUACUAUGCCGACUCCUGCCCCCCGGUCACAUGUAGAUCCAUCAAAGAACAUCGUCCAAGGUAUAAUUUCCAAGGUUUCCACUGCGCCGCGAUGUUGAGUUACCAAAUCGGCCAUAAUCUGCCCCUUAACGGCUUUAGCCGAUUCAUAACGCAGAUCGAACUCCGACAGUGCCAGAAUCCACUUACCGAUCCUGCCACUCAUAAUCGGCAUGGAUAGCAUGUACCGGACCACAUCAUCUUUGCAAAUAACGGUGCAUUCGGCCGAUAACAAGUAGUGCCUUAACUUGAUACAAGAGAAAUAUAAGCACAAGCACAAUUUCUCAAUAGCCGAAUACCUGGUCUCAGCAUCAAUUAAUCUCCUGCUCAAAUAAUAAAUUACACGCUCCUUCCCUUCAAAUUCUUGAAUUAAAGCCGAACCGAUGACCAUCCCAUCGGUAGACAAAUACAAUCUGAAGGGCUUCCCUUGCUGAGGUGGAAUUAGAACUGGAGGAUUUACCAAAUAAUUCUUAAUUUCAUCCAAAGCCAACUGUUGUUCCUUCCCCCAAACAAACUCUUGGUCGGCCUUUAGCUUAAGAAGAGGACUGAAAGCACGAAUUUUACCAGACAAAUUAGAUAUGAAUCUUCUGAUAAAAUUUACCUUGCCGAUCAAGGACUGGAGCUCGGUCUUGUUGGUAGGGGCCACUAUCUUAUUGAUGGCAUCAAUGGAUCUUCGACUGAUUUCAAUCCCCCUCUGGUGCACCAUGAAACCAAGAAAUUGCCCUGCCGAUACUCCAAAUGCACACUUAUUGGGAUUCAUUUUCAAACCAUGCUUCCUUAUGCACUCCAACACCUUUCGUAAAUCGGCAAGAUGCUUUGCGAAAUCUCCAGACUUAACCACCACAUCAUCAAUAUAAAUUUCCACUAUAUUGCCGAUAAACUCAUGAAAUAUAAAAUUCAUGGCUCUUUGAUAAGUAGCACCAGCAUUCUUUAAGCCAAAGGUCAUAACUAUCCAUUCAAACAAUCCAACAUGACCAGGGCACCUGAACGCAGUCUUUGGAAUAUCUUCCUCAGCCAUGAAUAUUUGAUUGUAUCCUGCAUUGCCAUCCAUAAAGCUAAUAAUCCGAUGCCCAGCCGCAGCGUCGACUAGCCGAUCGGCAACUGGCAUUGGGUAUUCAUCCAUCGGUGUAGCUUUAUUGAGAUUCAUGAAAUCAAUGCAGACCCGAAGCUUCCCGUUCUUCUUGUAGACCGGAACAAUAUUGGAAAUCCACUCGGCAUACCGACACUGCCGAAUAAAUUUGGCUUCAAUAAGUUUGGUUAUUUCGGCCUUGAUGUCAGGAAGAAUAUUAGGAUUACAUCGGCGAGCUGGCUGCUGAUGUGGCCGAAAUCCAGACUUGAUAGGCAACCGAUGCUCAAUAAUUGAUCGGUCCAAACCAGGCAUCUCAGUAUAAUCCCAAGCAAAGCAAUCUUAUAUUCUUUUAACAAAUCAGUUAACUGUUGCUUACACUCCGGAUCUAACUUAGCACUAAUAAAAGUGGGUCUAGGUUUAUCACCACUACCUAUAUCUACUUCUACUAGAUCAUCGGCCGAUGUGAAUCCCUGGCCUAACUUUUCAUCAUCGGCGAACCUAUCCACUAAAAACCUUCGUCAGAACCGACUGCUUGGAUCGGUGGAAUUUCGUAAUCGGCAACCUUGAGAAAAUCCUUUUCCCAAAUUUCUCCUGAAAUACACCUAGUCCUUUCAUAGGUAUCUGCCUCUGCCGAUGCGAUGACAUAAGAAGAAUCUCCUGGGACAAUCUCAAUCUUGUCACCUACCCACUAGACCAAGCAUUGGUGCAUUGUAGAUGGGAUGCAACAAUUAGCAUGAAUCCAAUCUCUUCCCAAUAGCAGGUUGUAAGCACCCUUUCCACUGAUCACAAAGAAGGUUGUCGGCAAGGUUUUACUGCCGAUAGUCAACUCUGCACAUAUUGCCCCCUUAACCGGAGACACGUUCCCUUCAAAGUCUUUGAGCAUCAUAUCGGUCUUGGUUAAAUCAUGAUCCCCUUUUCUAAGCUUCUGAUACACUGCAUACGGCAUGAUAUUAAUAGCAGCUCCACCAUCAACUAGAAUCUUGGUCAUCGGCUGACCAUCCACUUUCCCUUUAACAAACAGGGCCUUGAGGUGCUGCCUUUCAUCAUCGGCGGGCUUCUCGAAGAUAGCUGUCAUCAGAUCCAGGGCCAACUGAGCUAUUUGGUCGGAAAAAUCCACCUCAUCAUCACUGGAUGGUGCAAGGAACUCCAUCGGCAACAUAAAUACCAUGUUGACAUCUGCCGAUGGACCUCCCCCCUUAGGAUCUGAUCGCUGUUGAUCCCCAGACUGUCCAGAGUUCUCCCCCUUGCUCAACUCUUCUCGCCUUUCGCGCUGUAAUUUUCUCUUCUAAGUCCUAGUCAAUCCCUCCGGACACCAGGGAGGAAGUUGCUGCUGCCUUCCCGUCGGGCGACGAUUCUCCCUAGACUCUACCCGAUACGUAUUAGCAUCCCUGCAAAAUAUGAACUCAUCGGGAACCCAAGCAUUAGCCAUCUCUUCAAGUUCUUCUUGGUUCCUGGGAAAAUAUUGGACACGAUCGCUAAGCCUAUCGUGCACGCUGAGUCUGCCCCCCAGCCGAUCAUGGACGGAUGCUCUCCCCCUAAUCGGCACAUUGAAACGCCGAUCAUUAUCACGAUAGUGCCGAUCGGACCUGUCGUACCGAUCAUAACCGUUGCACUCAGGGCAAUCUCUGAUAGUGGGAAGCUUGAUAUUCUCCUCCCAGCAAUGGAUGAAGAACGGGCAAUUCCAGUGAUCCCUAUGCCGAUUCCACUCCUGUCGGCGUCUUUCCUCUUCCCGACGAUGAUCCUCUUGCUGGCGCCGAUAUCGGUCUUCACGUUGCUGCCAAGUCUCCUGAGGCCUUCUGUGAGUUAUCACAAUACCAGAUCGGGGAGGUCCUCCUGAGCUAGUUCCUUCCUGGACUAAUCCUCUUCCUUUGGCAUCGGCAGUAGUGACCUGAUGCUGAGGAUCCACCGAUGCACUUCUUUCAGCUGCUUCCGAUGUUAGGACCUUGGCCUUUCCCUUAGCAUCCAACAUGUUCGUUGGGAAAGGAUGUUGAUCGAUCUUCAUCGGCUUCUGGGUUUUGGAACUGUCAAACUUGAUUCUUCCAGACUCUAUAGCCGAUUGCAGCUGCUGUCUGAAGACCUUGCAUUCAUUAGUGUCGUGAGAAGUUGCAUUGUGCCACUUGCAAUAUUUCAUCCUUUUUAAUUCUUCGGUCGAUGGGAUCACAUGAUUAGGGGACAGCUUAAUCUGACCUUCCUGAAGUAGAAAAUCAAAUAUCCUAUCGGCCUUAGCGGUGUCAAACGCGAACUUCUCUGGUUCCUUAUGUCCAAAGGGACAAGACAUCGGCUUCUUAUUUUUUACCCACUCUGCCAAGCCGAUGACUGGUUCCUCAUCAGAAUCUGAGCUUGUUGCUUCAUCAACGAACGAUACCCUUUUGUUCCAUACUCUCUUGGGCUCAAGAGGCUUGAUAUCUUGAUCAGAAAUUCUCUGCACCAAAUGACUUAAGCUUUCAAACUCCUGAGAAGCAUACUUGUCCCUGAUGUGUGGCAACAAUCCCUGGAAAGCCAAAUCGGCUAGCUGCCGAUCAUCCAGAACCAGACUAUAGCAUUUAUUCUUAACCUCCCGUAUCCUCUGCACAAAACUCUCAACCGAUUCAUCAUUGCGUUGCCUCAACUUGACCAAAUUGGUGAUCUUCUUCUCAUGGACUCCAAAAAAGAAAUACUUGUGAAAUUGCUUCUCCAGAUCGGCCCAGGUAAUCACUAAGUUGGGAGGUAACGAUAUAAACCAAGUGAAAGCCGAUCCCGACAAUGAUGAUGAGAAUAAACGAACCCUUAACUCAUCCCUGUUACCAGCUUCCCCGCAUUGGAUGAUGAACCUGUUGACGUGCUCCAUGGUUGACGUGUCAUCCUGCCCAGAAAACUUGGUAAAAUCUGGUACCUUGUACCAAUGUGGAAGCGGGAUCAAAUCAUAUGCGGGAGGAUACGGUGUCCGAUAAGAGUAAGUGUUGACUUUGGGUUUUAUCCCGAAUUGGUCUCUCAUUACUUCAGCAAUCUUAUCGGCCCAAUAGACAUCGGCAUCUUGCCGAUGAGGGGGUUGCGGAUCCGGCACCUGCUGGCAAGCUCCCACGUGUCUGUGUGGUGCACGAUCUGCAUGAAACGUUGGGUUAACCAUUUGGCCCCCAAUCUGCGGACCGCCAAGCUGUUGCCCACCAAUAUGCUGUCCGACGACCUGCUGCCCAAGAUUCAUUGGCUGGUUGGGAAUCCCCUGAUUCUGGAACCUGGGGUAGAUCUGCCCUUGCUGGAAUCCUGCGGCCUGAUGACUCGGUUGGGGCGUUUGCGGAAAGACUUGCUGCCCAAGCCAUCCACUAUUAGCGUUCAUCGGCAUAGGCUCUGCCGAUGACUGGUAAUUGGGCAUUAUCAUUGAGUUGACAUACCCUAGUUGAAUCACAGACCUCUGUUGCAUCAGCAUUGGAUCUGCCGAUGCAUUAGGCAUCUAGAAUGUUGGAGCUUGAGAAUUCCCAGUGUGAGGUCUUGCAGUAGUAGUUGUAGUAUAUUGGGGACUCUGGUUCAUCGGCAUGCAUGGAGGUGCCGAUGCCAUAGGAGUCUUGCCCCUCACAUCAGUCGUCUGCGAUGUACCCGACGUUAACUCUGGAGGCAUGCCAUAACCCCAACAGUUAGGAGGAGGAGUUAAUCCUGACAUUGCCGAUGCCAACAGAUCUGUAGCGAGUUUAAUCUGCCCAUCUGAAGUCGGCGGAUUGGUUGUCAUCGGCAUAGACUGUGCAUCGGUGACUCCCAACGUGCUUGGCGGAACAGGAAUCUCCAUGCCCGUAACGGCCGUAGCAGUCGAUGAAGCUGUGACCACUGGUGACUUUGGCUGGUGAUAAGUGGGGCCCACAUAAUCUGGUGGCAAUUGUCCUUCCUAGAAAGUUCUUGCCACGGCAUUGAAAACCGUAUUAGACACCAGCUUGGUUGAUCAAAGCACGGUUGAUGGCGCUGUCAACGAUCUCUUGAAGUUUACCAGGAUUGGCUUCAAAAAUAACCUGUCGUGGUGCCGGCAGUGCAUCCUUCUGGAUCACCUCGCCACUCCUGUUCAUGCUGAAGGACCUUAGGCAUUGCUGCUUGUAAUCCUCCAUAGCUUUAGCAAUGGCUUGCUUCUGCUCAUCCUUGAGAUUGGAUUCCGUCACGGGGAUGACGUUCUCUUGAUCAAACUCAGAGGUUGACAUGUCGAUCUUGAUCUUGAAUCGGUCCCACUGGGCGUGCCAAAAGAUGUGUUGGUGCAAAAACUGAUCUGCAAACACAAAGGGCUAAUACCCGAUUCAAACGUUAAGGCGUGCCAGCCGAUUUGACCUUACUAUCGGCAAAGGUGGUAACUCAAACACUUUGGUCCCGACAACAGCGAUGCGCCCGGAUGUCGCGGCCAAGAGGUAUUCACGCGGAACUCAAGAACACGCCGAGCUUAAGUCGACGAAUUCCUAAGAACUCGUAAUGAAAGGAAAAAGUAUGACGAAGUCGUUGAAAAAGUAGAUGAUGGAAUAUGAGUAAAAACUUGUGUUUGAUUGAUUGAUCGAUGUCCCUAUUACAAAGCUCUAGGGUCUACAUUUAUACCCUGCUUAAAGAGCCACAACUAGACACGACUAGAAUUCGAAUUCCAAAUUUAAACAGAAUCCGUGUACAAAACGAUCUAAAUAACUAAGGAAAACAUAAAGCUAUCCCUCCGUGACAAACUGGAACUCCUCCACAAACCGAUCGGCAAUUUCCAGACUCUUCCCCCAUAUCAUCGGCAGACUCCCUUGUCGUAGCCAUCGGUACAAAUACGUCGUCACAACUCAACCAUCUUUCCAUCGGCAACCACCUCCAUCGGCAACUCACCCUGUAGAUCAAGCACCACCAUCUCAUCUUGCCGAUCCACGCUUUACCGAUCAUGGACACGUGCCCAAAAACGGUGUCAACAGGAUUAAAACCAAUAUGUGUUUGAGACAUGCGACACUUCUCACGACGUUGAACACAAACCUUAAAAUGUCAAGUAAGAUGUCGAGUUCUAUUAGCAGAAUAAGCAGAGUAUUGCUUCUUACAGUGUUUGCAAAUAGCAGCAUACCUGAUGGGUUUUUGUUUACCUGGCACCUUCUUGAAAAGCUUCUAAAAAUCAUGCCAGACAUCAGAGGUAGAAGGCCGAUUGGAGCCUGCUACCUCAUUGUCGCCCUCAACACCAUCGAGAUCGGCCACAUCCACAUCCACUAGGAGUGGGAGGACAUCUUCGUCACAGGGUAGGGCAUCAGCAGCAGACUGGCUAAAUAGCUUGACGUAGUCCUCACGGACAUUGACCUCCUCAUCAUCCCCGGUUAACCCACACUUCCGUAGCUCGUCGUUCUGUGAAUGAUCAAACUCCCCUUCAUCGUGGACGCAUGAGCCAGGGGCCAUAAUAGCCUGAGCCGUCCACGGUUCCUCGGUGACUACAAUCAAGAACAAAAAUAGGGUUAAGGAUUAGGCAUCGAUGAGAACGAUGGAUAGAAGAUGGAAGGGAUUAGGGAUUUAGGGUUAGGGUUUGCAGUUACCUCUAGAGCCAGAGUGCCGGACGACAGGAUGCACACCCCCGAUACCUCAACAGAGACCGAAGCCCCAGAGGUGGCAGUGGCCGGCGAUGAGAACGACGGACAAAAGAUGGAGAGGAGUCGGGGAUGCCAAGAAUGAUUCUCAAUCGACUCUCAGGGAUGAAGAACAAGGGAACAGAUGGAGAUUGAUGGCGAGAACCACCACAUCUGAGAGAGAAGAGGGAGAUUGUGGGCAGAGAGGGAAAGUAAACCAGGGAGAUUGAGGGCGGAACCCACCGGAUCUGAUGACCCCUUACCCACCGGAGAACGCCAUGGACUGAGCGAGAGCGAGUAGACGAGCGAGCGGGGAGUCGCGAGAGCGAGUAGACGAGCGAGCGAGGAGUGGCACGACGGAGAGGGGAUUAGCCGAUUAGGGUUGGGAGCAGGGAGGAGGCCACGACGGCUUCUUUAUGUACCCCCUCCUCCCCCAAUCCAAUGGCUCUCCCUUCUCCACCCCAAUCCAAUGGCUGGUAGCUGUGCUGGCGUCGUGCUGGCGUUGGAACGGGCCAUGCCUGGGCUAGCACUACGGGCCACCUCCUCGGCCUAGGAACGGGCACGACAACAGGCUGGGCUAGGCACGGGCACGACUAAGGCAGGCCAGGGCCAAGUUAGGGCCAUGCUUUUGAGUACCAGGCUCGGGCCAGCCCGUUUUCCUCGGCCCAUUUGGAAAACUUUAGCCGUGCCGGUGCCCUCCAGCAACACGCGGAGGGCCAUUCACACCUCAUUGUCGAGGAACACGAACGUGUUUAGGUGGGUGCGUGCUAGGAGUGAGCAUGGCAGGGGCGACAUGGUGGAGUUUUAGAGAUGGGAGGGGCGUGGACAACGAUGCAGUCUCGAUGUGAUCCGAGGGCCGAGGCAAUGGUGUAGAGGGCACAUGCUUCGCGCGGCCAUUCCCGCUAGCUCCUCGUGCUCCAGCGAUUGUCGUCGCGAUGUGGGAGUUUGAAGAAUACCAAACCAGCUCCUCCAUGGUCACCCGGGCCUUCGCCCUGCUUCAUCCCGUUGGCGGCAUGCAGAGCGCGGAAGGUCGAUCUGCGGCCAAUGCUACGAUCGAGCAUGCGCAGCCGGUGUGGCAAGCUCACGGUCAGCGCUAUAUGCGUGUGCAGCCAACGAGGAGGGUGGUGUGGCGAGCGGCUGGCCGCCGUGGGCACAGGGCGCGGGGGUGGGCGAACAUCACGGGUAUGGCAUACGGCGAGCAUGCGAGGUCGUUGUGAAGGGCUGGACAGCGAGCGGCUGCCGUCGUGGACACGGGAUGCGGCGAGCGUACACCGCCAUCACAGAGGGCGUGGCAGCGACCGAGCUGCCGUUGCGGGCAUGCCGCUUGUCACGGAGGGCUUUACGGCGAGCGGCGGCCGUCAUAGGAUGCCACGAGCGAGUGGGCAGCUGGCGCGGUGACGAUGAGUCUCCUUCGGAGCGGCCCGGUGCCUCCGCGUGGGACUUCCUACUUGACUGACAUGAUCGUCUUCCGGUCCCUCAGAGGAGGCGUGGAUGGCAAUGAGGUGCAAGUGCAAGAGAACUGUGGUGUGGCGUGCUGGAUGCCGGAGGGAGGAGGCGUGGAAGGGCGGCGGCGGCAAGGCAUGUGUACCGACGGAUAGAGAAAGGCUCUCAUAGGUUCUCUUUCACAUGAAUCGCAGCUGACCUUUGGAUUUUCUUUGCACGGUUGAUAUGAUAGGGUAUGUUACACCGUGACUUGCUUGAGGCAAGUCAGUGGCGUCUGCUUGGUGAAAUGUGUCGUGCGAGCCUCGAUCUUUGAGACCGGAGCAAGUGGAAUAGUAGAACGGCUGGUUGUUGGUUCUUGUCGCUCAGCCAUUUGCCUUGCAGGAAGAUGGCCCAGUGGAUCCUCUCGGUACUCACUAGGUGGGCUUUUGAGCAGCGUGCAUCUCUGCAUAAUUAGACUAUCUUCAACGAUCCUCGUUCAAAAUAUGAGACUCAUUUGUACUUUAAGUAGCGCUACAGUCUAAAAGUUCAAUAUCUAUUUUCAGUGGCGGAGGUAGAAAUAUUUUAUAGGUGUGGCGGUUUAUAAUGGGAAACUAUGUAUAAUAUAACUAUCAAAUAUACAAGGACAUUAGGAAAGGACUUAUUGGAACAUUAUCAAAAUAUUUAUAUUACUUUGUGAUCAGCAAAUAAAAUAGAUAUGGGAGACAACAACUCAGCCAUUAAAUCCAUCAGUACUGUAUAGUGUUUCACGUAUAUAUAUAAUAGUCUUUCAGUCUUUUGUAUAAAAUUUAGGUAUGGCGGCUGCCGUACCUUGCUAGAUAGCUGCCUCCGCCCCUGUCUAUUUUAAGUUCUCUUCAAUAACAAGAUCUAAAAGACAAUACUUUUUGCAAAUGGGUCUUAAGAAGAGAGGAUACCCAAAUUUGGGUUAUGUCUCUUUUGAUAUCAAAAAUGGAUCUUUGGUAUAGGUACUCUAUUGGAGACUAUAGGUAUUGUAUUAGGGACUCAUUUUGAGUUUGGAUUCCUCGAUAAAUCUCCUAUUGGAGACAACCUUAUAGCUUGGAACCGGCAAAUUUCUUUCUUCUCAAAAAAAAGUUUGUCACCAUCUUCAAACAUUUAUAUAUAGGAUGUUGUGAUGUAGGAGUAGAACUCGAUAGCAUUCUUGUAAGACUUUGUUCUUACUCAAAGAAUCCAAUCAUGCGUUGUUGAUUAUGUCUUUACCCUUUUAUAUGUUGAUUUUUUUUUUGCUUAUCUCAUACAGUAUAAAUUUGCAUGAACACCACAAUUAACUAUAGCCUAUUGUAUGUUUAUUGUGAACAUUUAUAUUAUGGUUUUGUUUAGUUCAUGAUUUUUUGGGUUCCGCUACGGUAGCAUUUUCGUUUGUAUUUGGUAAUUAUUAUCUAACCAUAGAUUAACCAAGCUCAAAAGAUUCGUCUCGCAAAUUAUAGGCAAAUUGUAUAAUUAGUUAUUUUUAUCUAUAUUUAGUGCUCCAUGCAUGCAUCAAAAGAUUCGAUGUGAUGGGAAAUCUUGAAAAAAAUUUAGGAACUAAACAAUGCCUAUGUCUUUGCUCUAUCUGUAGUUUCAAUAAACUCAAAUGUGACAUAUUUUGAAGCAAGUUAAUUUGUUUGCUUUUAGCUAAGAGCAACUCUAACAGUUUGGCUACUCUUAUUGUGUAGGCUAUUUUAUAACUUGUAUAAUAGAAAAAAUAGGCUCCAACAUAUGUGCUAUUUGGUUUUGUAAAAUAGAAAGUUGGGUAUCCUUUCAUUUUCGGUGGCCAUAUAUAGCCAACCACUAACACUAGCUAUCUGAUUUUGUAAGGCAACAAAGUUGUUGUGGACUCAAAGUUCAAAAUGGCGACGCCUAGGCUCCGUCUAGGCACGAUUAGUCGCGAGUCGAAGGGUGUGCGCCUGGCCUAGGGGGUAGGCAGACCCCUAGGCGAUGCUAGCUUGUCGGCAACGCUAGUAGAGGAGGAGGAGGUGCGUGUGGGCAGUGGUGGGUGCGAGUGGCGGCGGCAGGCACGUGUGGAGGGGAGGAUAGGCAAUGUCCCUCUAGAUCCAAAGUCGCACUGCAUGAGGGAGGCGGCACGCUGCUAGAUCCGUUGCAACAUGAUCUCCUUGUCGUCCCUCCACUUUUGGUCCUGUCCUCGCCCUUCCCACACGACCAACAGUGAUAAUCCUAGAUGAGAGCUGCUCGAGUGUCCCAACUCCCAAGGUGGCAUGUGAAGGGAUGUGGUGGCGGGAUCAUCUACACCUCCGCCGUCGAGGAAGAAAAGAGGCUCAAGAGGAGGUGGGAGCGCAGCGGAGGCAACUCAUUAGCGACGGAGAGUGGCUCGAGCACGAUGGUGUGGCUAUUGGAGAUAGAGGUAAGGAAAAGAAGAGCCCACGAGAGACACAAAGAGAGAUGUGCUCAGGAGUUAGGACGACUUAGAAGAUAAGGAUGGUAGAGAGUUUUUAUGAUUUGGUCCCUUAUUUUUGUAAAAACACUUAGAAAUUUUCUUACUCUGAUUCUCUUAACAGAAUUUUUACAUUUUGCCCCGUAGAAAUUCUAUUUUCUCACAAGAAACUAUUAGAUAUAGUUUUAUCUGACAUUUCUCCUCUCAUAACCUCCUCGCUGGUACUGUAGCAACAAUAAUUACACAUGUGUUUAACUCGUAGUAGUCACUUACAUAUACAUAGUAUAUAGAUUUGUAUAUAGCUAGUCUCUUUUUCCUUAUUUACUUAAGGUAAUUUAAAGUAAUAUACAUGUAUGUGUAUAAAAAUUAAAACGCCUAGAAAAAACGCUUUGAAACGUCUAGGCUAGCCUAGGACGCCUAGCAGAGGCGGAUCUAAAGAGGGGUUGGGUGGGCUCCAGCCUCCCUAUGAGUCUGAUUUUGUCCAUAAAUUAGUGUUAGUUAAUCUUAAAUUUUUAUUAAACUCUAGUUUUAACCCUAAAUGCUUACUAUUUAGCCCCUCUUUUGUCCUCAUCCUAAAUCCGCCACUGUCGCCUAGGCUCUAGGCUGUAGGUCAGCGCCUAGAAAACUCCUAUUUAUCUAUUUUAUAAAAUGACUAAAACAAUGUAUAACACGAUCCUUGUGUUCAUGUUCGUGUCCGUGUCCUCGUUAUCUAUUUGGCUAAAACAAUGGAAUUUGGCACGAACACGACCAUAAAAUGGCUAAAACUGCCUAGUUAUCCAUUUUAGGCCGUGUCAGCACGACACGAACACAAGGGCUGUGUCGUGCCUAAAAUGUUGGCAUGGUGGGCUACAUGGCUCAGCCCGCAUUUUAGGUCAUGCUUGGCCUGUACAACACAAAAAUGACACGUGGAUAUACAAAUAUACAAUGCAAAUUUUCAACAUUUACUAUGUUACCUCUCAUUUAAUUCUUCAAUAAAUUAUGAAUCAUUAAAACUUUUAUUAAAAUAAUAUACAAAAAAUUAUAUAUAUUUGAUAUCACGAGCAGAAAAAUAAAACUAGCAAAGAUAUUUUGAGGGUUGUGCUUGGACCAGCAUAACCCGAAGACAUACCGACAUUGUCGUGAGCUGUGCUUGGGCCAAAGAAAAUAUUCACCGUGUCAUAUCGGCACGGCCCGAUAUGUCUCCCGUGCCUAAAGUGCAUGACCCAAAGCAACAUGAAGUACGAGAGAGUCGUGCCAUGUAGACACAACACAACCACAAAUCUCAGCUCUACUCUUAACAUCUCCCUCCACCGCCUCAUUGCACCGCUCCUUGUCGGCUCCCUAGGGACCUUUAGUCUUUGCUAGCUAGUCGCGUUGCCUCCAUCACCAUGGGUGGCAGUGCUUUGUAGCCUCGACUAGCCUUUUAUGUUAAAGAUAAAGAUCAGUUAUGACUUUGAUUUAUUAUGAGAGAAAAAUACUAUUAAAUAACUAACGGAUUUGAAAGAUAAUCUUAAACGAACAAGCUACUAAACUCUAGAGUAAUAAAGAAGAUAACAACAUUAACAUAGAGUCAUGUGAUAUUCAUUAAAGCGGUACUUUUUAGCGAAGGAACAAUAAAGUCGCUAUACAGCUCCAUUAUUAUCUUUUCUACCCAGCGUUUACGAGAAAAAAAAAGAAAGAAAAAGUAAAAUACAAAUUAAUCUGUAAUGGAAAAUACUCCAAGGUACGUCCAGAACGUACAAUCGACUACUGGUGUCCUUCCCCAUUUCUUCCUUCCUUCGCCUCGACUCCUCACAAGGCGAUCGCUCCAGAGAAAAUUUCGAGGGUUUAGCCAGACGGUGACUGGGAUCGAGAUCGGGGCGACAUGAGCGAGGUGUUCGAGGGCUACGAGCGCCAGUACUGCGAGGCGUCCGCCUCCCUCACCCGCAAAUGCACCGCCGCCGCUGCCCUACAGGGAGGUAAUCCUGCAGCCCUGCCAAAUCUCUUCGUUUCCUGGAAGCAAUCUCGGCCGUCUCUCUCUCCGAAUCGUCUCUUGAUUGGUUGUUUGGCCGCGCAGAGAAGCUGAAGCAAAAGGCGGCGGAGAUCCAAUCCGGCAUCGAUGGCGCUGAGGCACUGGUAUCCCCUCCCCCCCCUUUUUUUUUGUUUUUUAUUAAACAUAGGCAAGUAGCCGCUUGGUUCUUGUUACCAAGUAGCCGAAGGAUACACCACUCUCACAAAAUAUUCAGCUGUAGGGAGGAAAAAAAAGAAACAAGGAAAAUGAAAGAUUCUUCUUUAAGGUGUAUUUUGUAUCAACCACGGAAGAACUUCAAUUCUAAGGAUUACAUAAUUGUGUAAAUUUGUGGACGUUCAUAGAAUCAGGCUAAGCAGUGAUCAAAUGGAAGUUUUCUUGUGUGGCGCAAGACAUGUAUUGUAUAUUGGUAACGUUGUUUUUGUUUUCAGAUAAGGAAGAUGGAUCUCGAAGCAAGGAACCUCCAACCAAGCAUUAGAGCUGGGCUCCUAGCAAAGAUCAGGGAGUACAAGUCAGAUCUUAAUAACCUCAAGGGAGCACUAAAGAGGAUUACCAGUGGUAACGCACAGCAGGGGGCGAGGGAGGAGUUGCUGGAGUCAGGAAUGGCAGAUGCAUUGGGGGUAUGUUACCUUUUCUGGGUUCAUGAAUGUUCUCAUCUGAAGUGAAUCAUGCUCUUUUUGGUUUGUUAACAAGGUUGUGCAAGGCAUGUCUAUAUCUGAACCAUCAUUUUCUAUUGGUUAUUUGUUAGAAAUGACACAUAAACAUACAUGUUUGGUUGGUGUUAAUUUGGCUUAAGUUAUGGUAUUUUAGCUCUAUGAUAAGGAUACAAGUGUCUAUGGUGCUCCUCUCAGUACUGAAGUGAGUGAAAGCAUUGAGCCUUCCAAAUUACAGAUGUGGAGCUAGUUAAAGCAAUGUCUUACAUGAGUAGCUAAUCUCAGGAUGUGCUCCUUGAUUGUUUCAUGGAUUUAUAGUGAAUGAAUUCACAUUUCAUCAUGAACACACUCUGAAUGGCGAAGCACAUGUUUUCCCAUGCUGUUCAUCGAAAAAAUCAAUCGAUUUGUGUUAAUUAUAUAUAAAAAAAAUCAAUUUGUGUUGAAGCAGGUCUACCAAUCUAGAAAGUUCUAAAGACUACUCUUGUAGCAUGGAUAAGCCAAAGCUAUCAAUAAUGUCUGCAAGGUGAUAGUAAUGUGUCCUGCAUGCUAUGGCAUAUGCUGUCCAGAAUCCAUAUGGCUAGGGUGUAGCCAUAUCAAUCUGGCAACAUUCAUAUUCUGAUGAAGUAUGAGGCCCUUGUCCUUUUGCACGCACAUAUUUCUGAUUCAUCAUCAAUCUUAGAUUUGUUUAUUUGUAGUUACAUGGGUUUAUCCUUCAACCUGCAAAUAAAAAGUUGAUGGUCUCCAUGAGAGUCUAAUUUGUUUUUUGAUGAUCACACAGGUUUCUGCUGAUCAAAGAUCAAGAUUGCUCAGGGCAACCGAGAGACAGAACAAAACAACUGAUAGGCUCAGAGAUAGCCAUAAAACUAUGCUGGAGACUGAAGAUCUUGGUGUCUCCAUCUUGCAUGACCUGAAUCAACAGCGCCAAUCUCUCUUGCGUGCUCAUGAUGUAGUAAGUAUUCUGUUUUCCUAAUUCUACCGGUUUGAACUAAUUGUUUUGGUUUUGUUUUAAAUUAAAUUAUCUUAAACCUCCAGUAUUAUGCAAUUUGUUGAAAGGAAAUCACUCAAGUUUCUCUUUACCUUAUUUUGUUUCAGAUUAGAUGAAAUGUAGCUUUCCAUAGUCUACUGUUAAAAAAAAUGUUAUGCAUACAAGUUUGUAUGUGGAUAAUUAUGUUUGUUAUGCCUUUUGAUGUCAGAAAACAUUAAAGGAGACAGUGUAGACCCUGACCUACUUUUUCUUCAACAGUUCUUUUUCCUGGUUAUCCGUAGUAUCUACAUUGGCUGAGUUUUAAUAACUCUUCAAUGUUUUUCAUUUCUUGUCAUGCAAGUUCCCCUUUCCAUUUCUAUGUUACUCAUGGCUGCUGUAAUUGACAAGCUUUGCACAUGUUCAUUAAGUGCACCUAUUUUCACAUGCCUAAGACUGUCUCCAACAGCCAUCACCUAUAUACAAGACACAUUUGUUCCUUUGGGUCACACAAAAAAAGGAUCACGCACCCAAACCGGUCGUUUUCCAACAGCAGACCCAAAACGAGAGGAGAGCCCCCGAUGCUUGUGCCGCCUGCUUCCCUCCCCACCGAACAAAUCCCUGCAUGUGUCGCUCGCUUCCUCCUCCCUGCAGAGCGCCGAGCCUCCUCUCCCCUUCCGGUCAUCUGCGGGUGGAUACGAUUGGGCAUGGCGGCGCCCCUUUUCCGGUGAAUCUGAGCGCUGAGCGCCGAGUCUCCUUCCCUCCCCACUGAGCUCCUAGCUGGCGGCGCCCUCUCCCCUUCUGGUCUCUGCGGGCGGCACCCGAGUGAGUGGGCCAUCUCCUCCACAACACCAGAGAUUUGGGUUCGAGGAGAGAGGCGACGCUUAUUUGAGUUCCCUCUCUCCUUCGACGCAAAAUAGGUCUCCUGUUUGCGUGCUCUGUUGGACGGUGAUUUUUGCCUGUGAAGCAUGCAUUUUGGGUAUGGGUAGCGUGAUGCCUCUCUUGUUGGAGACAGUCUAAAGACAUACGUACCACUGUGGGGGCACACGCCUGAAACACUGGGCCCACUAUCAAUAUGGAAAGAGCUUUAGAGUAAUUAAUUGUUCAGUGGGGAUGGCUUGCAUAGAUAAUAGAUAGAUGGAUAUCAAUAUAAACCAGACGUCACCAGGUUUGUAUGGUUAUCAGAUCAUCUAAUGCAUCAAGUUGGAUUGAAAAACACAGUAUAGUUUGUUCUUCAAUACCAACUCGUAGUGCAUAGUUUAAGUUCAAACAAAUAUGGGCGAUAGUUGAUGCCAGAGUCCAUGCUGCCAUGCACCGGUUAAAUAUAAUAAUAACUGGUGUCCACAGUUACCAACAUGCGGCUGUUGUCUGUUUUAUUCAAAUCUCCUGUUUCCCAUUUAACCCCUGCUGUGUGAUCCUUGUUUGGCACUGCAGUUGGAUGAGGUGGAUAACAACGUUGGCAAGAGCAGGAGGAUCAUUGGAGGCAUGAUGAGGAGAAUGGAUAGAAACAAGUGGAUAAUCGGUCUCAUCAUAGCAGUCCUUGUCCUGGCUAUCCUCGUGAUUCUGUAUUUCAAGUUCGUGCACUAGAGGAUUUGCUUUGCAUUGGACAGUAGUUUCCUACUGUAACCAGGACGAAGAGGAAGGCAGCUGUGAUUUUUUUUUGGCUUACUUAUAUCGUGAUUUUGUGUUUUUAUUCUCGAUUUCCUCUUUCUUUUUAGAUCAAUCUUUCUGUGGGAUGUGCUUGUAUGGUAUCGAAUGUGUUGUGUGAGGAAACAUGUUCAGGCCGUGAAGCAAAGUUUUGUAUAUCUGAUUGGUUUUUAUUUGAAAGAAUAACUGCACGGAUAGGCAAUAAGUAAGGAAGCAUAUUUGAGAAUGUUGCCAGGAAAAGUUUUAGGAGGGGUUGAACAAAAUCACCUGCUCAGCUGCUCUGAUUACCUGCAUGUCUGGAGCCCCUGCAGCGUGCGGGCUGUUGGCGCCGGCUGCCCGCUCCUCGCUUUCCUGCCGAACGCAGCCGUGCACUGUUGCAGGCGUAGCGGCGUAGGUAGGGAGGGCGUCGUCGUGUCACAUUGGUUGAAGGAGCCACGCCACGUGCCGCCGCUUGAUGUUAUAGGUGUUAAACUGUAACAAAUACUAUAACAUGUUUUAUUGACAAUUUAUAUCCAAUUAUGGACUAAUUUGAUUUAAAAGAUUUGUCUCGUAAUAAUCUCUAGUUGUGUUUUUAGUUUCUUAAACAAUCUAUAUUUAGUAUUCCAUGUAUGUGUCUAGAUGCCACAGUGUUAAAAAAUAACGAGGAACCAAACAUGGCCUAGGAGGGGUCACUGUGGAUUAAUUUGGGAGGGUUCUUUGCACCGAUUGGGCUCGAGUUUAACUACUGUUGCUGGCCAAAUUAGUAAAAGAGGGGCUCUAGCAAAUCUCAGCCUUCAGCCCCUCCUACUAAUACAUCUAUGGCUGAAAUUUUAAGAGCGACCUUCAGGGGGCUUCACUGAUUCAGGAGCUGUAGGGGCCUAGGGUCUCGUGCCUGAUUAUUUUUAUUAUUUUAAAAAAAUCCAAGCCCGAUAAGAGGCCAGGUGAAAGCAAGAGAUCCAUGGACGUUGAGGUGUUUGCUUUCAUGGUACGUGUGUUACACUUAAUACAGGGGUCGUAUGUGGUAUACGUACUCGACCUAAAUAUUAUCCUAUCAAUUCUAGGACGCACAUAUUAUAUACUAAUUGCAUAGUAAAGCAAGUCUAGAAAUUUAGUACGUAGCAGGUAGCUCGUUCGUCUUAAUCGUGAGUAGAGGAGAUAUUGUGAAAUUUGUGACCAUCGUAUUUAAGUGUGCGAUAGACAGUAAUGUUAUGUUAUGUACUAUCCAAGUAGAUUCCUAAAGUUAUAAGUCAAAACUUUUAAACUUGGACUGAAUUUCUAGAAAACUCCAUUAAAAUUUAUAACAUCAAAUUAGUGUUAUUCGAUAUUAUAAAAUAUAUUUUCAUAAUGUGCUCAUUUUGUGUCAUAUAUGUUGUUACCUUUUUCCAUAAAGUUAGGCUUUAUUUAGUUCCGAAAACUUUUUGGUUUUCAGAACUGUAGCACUUUCGUUUGUUUGUGACAAACAUUGUCCAAUCAUGAAGUAACUAGGCUUAAAAGAUUCUGAAAGAGCAUCUAGGCCCCUAGUGGUUUCGGUGAUUAAUGUCAUUAUGAUUACUAUGACUAACAUGUGUUUUGCAGAGGCAAAGUCAUAGGUAAGGUCAUGGUAUAUAGGUACUCGAUGGACAGGGACGUACAUGCCUAAUUAAUAGUGGAAAUCGUUUCGGUUUUCAAAGGAUGGAUGGACAUCGUCAAGACUAGACUAGGUCUAAGUGCCAUAUGGUGAAGAAGGGCACUUAGAGUAGUUUAUGACUUUGUUUUCCUUUGACCGUACUAUUAAGAGGGGCUUUGAUCUAGUAGUUUGACUUAGGCAAGGCUUUAAGUUUAGGUGUGGUGCACACUUGGUAAACCUAGCACUAGGCAGCUCAGAGAUAGUCCUUAGAUCGAGAGGAACCAACUUCGUUUUGGAGCGAUCGCGUUUCGACGAAGUUUAGGUGCCCAAAGGGGCACCGGACGCUGCACCGGACGCUCUGUGAGUGCGUCCGGUGAGGUCCUUAGCCGUUAGAACAUGCCAGUGCUUAGGGUCAGGCACCGGACGCCAGCACCGGACGCACCGGGUAGCGUCCGGUCCCUUACCCAGAGAGCUUGCGAGCUUUCCCUGAGUAUCGGACGCUAGCACCGGACGCGCCGGGUAGCAUCCGGUCCCAUGCGCAGGGAGCAUGUAAAGUUUCCCCGAGCACCGGACGGUGCACCGGACGCUGGGAGUUAGCAUCCGGUGACCUGUCAGAGAAAAGUGCAGGUAGCCGUUAUAAAGCACCGGACGCUCGGUGCAGUGCGUCCGGUGCAACAUAAUGUGCGUCCGGUGACCCCGUUUUCAGUGGAAAACGUUUGGCCGACCUUUGGACUUCGUGGAUAGUAUUUAUACUCCUCCACCUCGUCCAUGAGAGCUCUCUUGCCCAUUUGAACAUCAGAGAACCUUGUUGUGGAGCAAGAGAGUUGCAAGAGCCUAGAGAGGAUUGAGAUUUGAGUGAUUUCUUGAGAGAAUCCUUCUCUAGUGAGUUCCAAGAGUCAAGUGUGCAUCCACCACUCUCAAGUGCCUUGUUUGGGCCAAGUGAGAGUUCUUUGCUUGUUACUCUUGGUGAUCGCCAUCACCUAGACGGUUCGGUGGUGAUUGGAGGCACGAAGACAGCCCGGAGUUCUUGUGGGUGGCUCGUGUCAAGCUUGUGAGCGGUUUUGGGCGAUUCACCGCGACGGAGUGUCGAAGAAUCAGCCCGUAGAGAGCACUUGGUCCUUGCGCGGACCAAGGGGGAGCAAGACCCUUGCGCGGGUGCUCCAACGAGGACUAGUGGAGAGUGGCGACUCUCCGAUACCUCGGCAAAACAUCGCCGAGCACUUUCUUCCACUACUCCUUUACUUUCUAGCAUUUACUUUGUGCUUUUACAUUCUUAGAAUUGCCAUGUUAGAAUAGGAUUGGAACUAGGUUGCAAAACUUUUUAUCCGAUAGCUCUCUUAGUCACACUAGGCACAAGGGGUUGAAUUGGAGCUUAUAGGUUGCUUAAAUUUUUAGAGAAGCCCAAUUCACCCCCCCUCUUGGGCAUCUUGAUCCUUUCAAUUGGUAUCAGAGCCUAGUGCUCAUUAUUAGGCCUCACCGCCUAGAGAAAGAUGUCUAACGGGGAUGGACCGCCACCCAUGUUCGAUGGGAAUGACUUCCCGUAUUGGAAAAUACGGAUGGAGACAUACCUUGAGGCAUGCGAUGUAAAGUGCCUAAAAGCCGCGACCGAAGGGUUUGCCCCUCCGGAAAGAGCCACCGCUCUUACUCCACAAGAGCAAGAAAACGAGAAGUGGAAUGCGAAGGCCAAAAACCACAUCUUUAGAGGCCUUUGCAAAGAGGUGUUCAACCGCGUUCGGAGCCACAAAACCGCCAAUGAACUUUGGAAGGAACUUUGUGCGCUCCAUGAGGGAUCAAAGAGUGAACGCGAGGAACGCUAUCACUUAGUGAUGAACAAGCUUAAUACAUUUGAAAUGCUUCCUAAAGAAAAUGCUAAUGAAAUGUAUUCUCGCUUGAAUGUCAUUGUAGAGGAGCUUAAUGGACUUGGGCUCACUCAAAUGAGUGCGGCGGAUGUAGCAAGGAAGAUACUAUGUGUUCUUCCCAUUGAGAAAUAUGGGCACAUAGUGACGGUGCUUCAUCAAGGAGAUCUUUCCACCGCUACACCAACCACCAUAUUGGGGAAGAUCAACGCUCAUGAGAUGUACAUGCACAUGAACCCCCAAGAUGGCUCCUCGUCGGCCAAGAAAGAAAAGAAGGACUUGGCUCUCAAAGCUUCUCACAAGGGCAAAGCCAAGAAGAUUGAAGUUGAGUCAUCAACUUCAAGUGAUGAUGAUGCAUCUAUUGCCCUCUUGGUGAGAAGAACCACAAAGAUGUUGAAGAAGCUCAACAAGAAUAGAGUCAACUUUGACUCCAAGAAGAAGAAGUUCUUCACAAGUAGCAAGAGGAAGCCCAUCUCCGAGAUGGAUUGCUAUAAUUGUGCUGAGCUUGGUCAUCUUGCUCAUCAAUGUCCAAAGCCCAAGAAGGACAAGUACAAGAAGAAAAACAAAGAGCAAGAUGAUUCAAGUGAUGAUGAGAAGAAUGACAAAAAGCAAUACAAGAAGAAAGGUGGCAAGAAGAAGGAGCACUACAAGAAGAAGAAUGGCAAGGCUUACAUUGUUGGUGAUUGGCUCACCGACAUUGAGAGCUCAAGUGGUGACUCCUCCGGCAAUGAAAGUGAUGAUGAGAAGGUUGCCGCCAUCGCCAUCGAUGCUCCAUCACCAUCAUCUUCACCACCAUCUACAUCCUCUACACACCUAUGCCUUAUGGCCAAAGGUGACCGGAAGGUACAAAGUGAGGAUGAGAGUAGUGAAAGUGAUAGUGAAUAUGAAUCACCCUCUUAUGAUGAACUUGUAAAAUUGCUAAACAAGUACACAAAAGUCAUAAGAAAGACUCGAAGUGAAAAUGAAAAGCUUGAACUUGAAAAUGACACACUUCUAGCAAAGCUUAAGUCUAGUGAUGAGCUUAGAGACCAAAAUGAGAUCAUGACCACCAAGCUCAAGGAGCUCAAACUCUCUCUAAAAGAGCUCAAAGAAAAACAUGAUAAACUUGAGAGUGUUCAUGAUGAGCUUAUCACUAGAUAUAGAGCAAUGAAAGAAGAACUAACAACUCUAAAGGCAAACUAUGACAACCUUGAGAUUGCUUAUGAACUUGCAAUUGAUGAAACACAUGUUGCUACUAACAAUGUUGCUAAGCUUGAUGUAGCCACAUCUUGUGAUGACUUACUUGUGGAGAGCACAAGCAAAUGUGUUGAUUGCAAGGGCAAGAAAGUGGUAGUGGCCGAGAGUUAUGGGGACACUAUCAAGCUCAAGGAUGAAAUUGUCAUGCUCAAGAAAGAGUUGCAAGACCAAGCCAAGCACAAGACCAUUGUGAUUGAGUCACUUGAUCAAGACAAGAAACUUGCAUAUGAGAACAAGUUACUCAAAGAAGAAAAUCAAUAUCUCAAGCUUGGUUUGAUGUAUGACAAGCAAGAAGAAGAUGAGAUAUUCAUCUUGGAUGAGUUAGCAAGCAACAAUGACCCAAUCAUCAAGGAGCUAACUCAAGAGAACAACAAGCUCAAGAAAGAGAAGGAACACCUAACCAUGGGGUUAGCAAAGUUCACCAAAGGGAAGGACCUUCAAAGUGAGCUUUUCAUGAACACCGUCAUGAAGAUGGACAAAAGCGGAAUUGGCUAUAAGGCUCAUCAAACAAAGCUCAUCAAGUCUCUAGCCACUCAUGAUCAAGCAAGCAAGCCAAAGCCAAAGAGAUGUUUUGAGUGUGGUCAAGAAGGACACUUUGCUCAUGAGUGUAAGGCAUCACUACCACCACCCUUGCCCAAGCAUGCGAGACCAUUUGCCUUCAAUGCUCAUUACAUUGUAAGGAAAGACAAGUGUGGCAAGGUCAAGGUUAGCUUCAUGGGGCCACCCAACAAGCAAAGGCCAAAGAAGAUUUGGGUGCCAAAGCAACUAGUAGAGAAGGUCAAGGGCCCUAAGCAAAUAUGGGUCCCUAAAUCUCAAGCUUGAUCUCUUGUGUGUAGGUGAACUACAAGACCGGUGGAUCACAUUGGGUAAUUGAUAGUGGUUGCACUCAACAUAUGACCAGAGAUCCCCGGAUGUUCACCUCUCUUGAUGAAGAUGUUGACAACCAAGAGAAGAUCACAUUUGGUGACAAUUCAAAAGGGAAGGUCAAGGGGUUAGGAAAGGUUGCUAUAUCAAAAGACAACUCAAUCACCAAUGUGCUCUAUGUGCAAUCAUUGAGUUUCAACUUGCUCUCAGUUGGACAACUUUGUGAUCUUGGAUUUGAAUGUCUAUUCAAGAAGAAGGAAGUAAUUGUGACCAAGGAAGAUGACAAUGAAGUGAUAUUCAAAGGCUUCCGACACAACAACUUAUAUGUAGUUGAUUUCUCAUCGGAUGAAGUUGAUGUCAAGACUUGCUUAUUCACCAAGACUUCACUUGGGUGGUUGUGGCAUAGAAGGUUAGCACAUGUUGGAAUGGGCACACUCAAGAAGUUGAUGAAGAAAGAAUUGAUUAGAGGCUUGAAGGAUGUGACAUUUGAAAAGGACAAACUUUGUAGUGCAUGUCAAGCGGGCAAACAAGUAGCAAACACUCAUCCAACCAAAGCCUAUCUCUCUACUUCAAGAGUGCUUGAGCUACUUCACAUGGACUUGUUUGGACCAACAACAUAUGCUAGUCUUGGAGGAAACAAAUAUUGCUUGGUCAUAGUUGAUGAUUUCUCCCGGUACACUUGGACAUUCUUUUUGCAAGACAAAGCCGAAGUUGCAUCAAUAUUCAAGAAGUUUGCAAAGAAUGCCCAAAAUCAAUUUGAUGUGAAGAUCAAGAAAAUUAGAAGUGACAAUGGCAAAGAGUUUGACAACACCAACAUUGAAGAGUAUUGUGAUGAAGUGGGAAUCAAGCAUGAGUUCUCCUCAACAUACACACCACAACAAAAUGGGGUUGUAGAAAGAAAGAACCGGACGUUGAUCACCUUGACAAGAACAAUGCUAGAUGAGUACAACACUUCCGAGAAGAUGUGGGCCGAGGCAAUCAACACCGCAUGCUAUGCUUCAAACCGGCUCUUUCCCCACAAGUUCCUAGAGAAGACACCAUAUGAAUUGCUCAAUGGGAAGAAGCCCGAUGUCUCAUUCUUUAGAGUGUUUGGGUGCAAGUGCUACAUCUACAAGAAGCGCCAACACUUGGGAAAGUUCCAAAGAAGAUGUGAUAUUGGCUACUUGGUUGGAUAUUCAUCAAAGUCCAAAGCAUAUAGGGUCUUUAACCAUGCCACAAACAUGGUUGAAGAAACAUUUGAUGUUGAAUUUGAUGAAACUAAUGGCUCCCAAGGAGCAAGUGAUAAUCUUGAUGAUGUAGGUGGUGAACCAUUGAGGGAUGCCAUGAAGAACAUGCCGGUGGGAGACAUCAAGCCUAAAGAAGAUGAUGAUGAUGUGCAAGUCAUUGAGCCACCAUCCACCUCACAAGGUCCACAAGAUGAAGACAAGGAUGUGAGAGAUGCUCAUGAAGACACACAAGUCACUCAUGAGCAAGCGGUGGCACAAGCACAAGAUGUUGAUGCUCCCCAACCAACCCCUCAAGUGGCACCAAGAAGAACAUCACAUCUCCUCCAAGAUCACUCUCAAGAUCUCAUCAUCGGGAGUCCAUCACGUGGUGUAACUACUCGUUCUGGACAUGCUUUAUUUAUUGAACAUCACGCUUUUGUGUCUCUUGAAGAUGAACCAAAGACUAUAGAGGAAGCUCUUCGUGAUGCGGAUUGGAUCAUGGCCAUGCAAGAGGAGUUGAACAACUUCUCUCGCAAUCAAGUAUGGACACUUGAAGAGCGACCCAAAGAUGCAAGAGUGAUUGGAACAAAGUGGGUCUUCCGGAACAAGAAGGAUGAUCAAGGCAAAGUGGUGCGCAACAAGGCAAGACUUGUUGCAAAAGGCUUUUCACAAGUGGAAGGUCUUGACUUCGGUGAAACCUUUGCACCGGUGGCAAGACUUGAAGCAAUCCGUAUCCUACUUGCAUAUGCAUCAAGUCAUGAUAUCAAAUUAUUUCAAAUGGAUGUGAAAACUGCCUUUUUAAAUGGUUACAUUAAUGAGCUUGUCUAUGUUGAGCAACCCCCCGGUUUUGAAGACUCUAGGUACCCCAAGCAUGUCUACCGGUUGUCCAAGGCUCUCUAUGGUCUUAAGCAAGCUCCUAGAGCUUGGUAUGAGAGGCUUAGGGACUUCCUCAUUGAGAAGGGCUUCAAGAUUGGGAAAGUUGACACAACACUCUUCACCAAGAAAAUGAAUGGGGAAAUCUUCAUUUGCCAAGUUUAUGUUGAUGAUAUUAUCUUUGGCUCUACUAAUGAAGAUUUUUGUAAGGAAUUUGGUGAUUUGAUGUCCAAGGAGUUUGAGAUGUCCAUGAUUGGCGAGCUAUCCUUCUUCCUUGGAUUUCAAGUCAAGCAAAUGAAGGAAGGGGUUUUCAUCUCUCAAGAGAAGUACACUCAACAUCUUCUCAAGAGGUUCAAGAUGAUGGAUUGCAAGCCAAUCAAGACUCCCAUGGCAUCAAAUGGGCAUCUCGACUUGGAUGAGGGAGGUAACCCUAUUGACAAGACUCUCUAUCGCUCAAUGAUAGGAAGUCUACUCUACCUCACCGCAUCUAGGCCCGAUAUAAUGUUUAGUGUGUGUAUGUGUGCAAGAUAUCAAGCAAUGCCUAUGGAAUCUCACUUGAUUGCGGUCAAGAGAAUUCUUAGGUACCUAAAAUACACACCUUGUCUAGGCUUGUGGUAUCCCAAAGGUGCAAGAUUCCAACUUGUAGGCUAUUCCGAUUCGGAUUAUGCCGGGUGCCGGAUUGAUAGAAAAAGCACAUCCAGAGGGUGCCACUUCCUAGGUAGAUCACUUGUCUCUUGGAUGUCAAAGAAACAAAAUAGUGUUGCCUUGUCAACGGCCGAGGCGGAAUACAUUGCCGCCGGUGCUUGUUGUGCACAAAUACUCUACAUGAAACAAACUUUGCUAGACUAUGAAGUAGUACUAGACAAAGUACCUUUGUUGUGUGACAACGAAAGUGCCGUAAAACUUGCAAACAACCCGGUUCAACACACCCGCACAAAACAUAUUGACAUCCGCCACCACUUCCUUAGGGAUCAUGUUGCUAAAGGUGAUAUAUCCCUAGAGAAUGUGGGAACGGAAAAUCAAUUGGCGGAUAUCUUCACAAAACCCCUAGAUGAAGCUAGGUUUUGUAUGUUGAGAAAUGAACUUAAUGUGCUCGACAUGUCCAACCUCACUAAAAGAUAAAAGUUGUGUGUUGAAUCUUGUAAAUAACUUUUGCUUUGCAUUUCAUGCAUACUAAAUCUAAAAUCCAACUUGCAUGUAGGGCUUGUCUAACAUGGUUAAGAUAACCCCUCGUGUGUGUGAAAAAGCUUAACCUUGGAUCAAACUUGACAAGCAUUAGCUUACUUUCAAGUAUUGCAUUACAAUUCAUAUCUUGUGCAUGCUUGUUAGUGGUCCGUUUCUUUUCGGUUAUUCGUUGAGCAUCCGCUGUGUUCGUCCAUAGAUAGGGGGAGCAUUCAAAGCUCAUUAUGUUUCAAACCCCUAGCUUUAUGGCCAUACGAUGCUCCUUGGUGAUUUUCUCGAACUAUUUUCUAAAAACUACUAAGCCUAUGGCUAAAUAUUUGUGAAAAUUUGAGGGUUUGAGAGAAGUCACUCAUACCAGUUCCAUUUAGUGUUUAGUUGUGUGCUUUUGGAAAUGGAACUUGGUUGGGUCAAAGUCGGACGUGGUGCUUAGUUGAAAAAGUGCUCACAGGAGCACCGGACGAUGCACCGGACGCUGCCUCUGAGCGUCCGGUGCGGUGAGUGUGCCAGAUUGCACGCACCGGACGCAGGAACAGUGUUCCUGCAGCGUCUGGUGUGGUGCGUCCGGUGCUCACCUGGUGUGACCUGAAGCACCGGACGCUAAAGCCAGCGUCCGGUGCCCAUCGUCCGGUGCAAAGCCGAUUUGCAAUCCUCUCUGCGCAUGAGUCCGGUGGUCACCGGACGCGUCCGGUGCCACAUUAAGAGCGUCCGGUGACCCCGCGGCGGGCGCAUAAAGCCCGCAUCCAGGGGCUUCGUGCGACCGUUUUCUCCCUUUUCCGCCGCCCUCGCCCGCGCUUCCCCGUGCCCUAAGACCGCAGAGCCGCCACCGCCGUCGUCGGUGUGUCGAUUCCCGGCGCCCUUUGAAUGCUUAGGGAAGCUCUUCCCUUCUUUCUCCUCGCCUGAGCCUCUCUCCAUUGCGAAGCAGCUAGGAUUUGGGUAAGGUUCUUGAACCAUGCCCUUAAGGUGCUUGGUUUAAUGUUUCAAUGGAUUAAGUUAAAGUUUUUGAUUCCAAUCUCGAUCGUCCUCUCGCUGCAGCACCUUGAGGAGGAAGUUUGCCAAAUUCAGAGGUUUCCGAUUGUGUCAUCUCUUUCGGAACGCGUCUCGUCCGUAGAUCGUAAGCCGCUCGCGUCCUUUCAUUAUCACUUCUUACGAUCUAUAGGUUUGUCUCAUCUCUAGUCGAUAUAUUUGCUUAUCUAGACCCUAUCUUGUCAAUUCUCUGCAGUGCAUUGUUCCCCAUUGCUAGUCAGUUGUUCGUCGGACGCUUGGUUUGCUAUGGCUCAUACCAAGAACGUCAGUGGUCCGACAGCUGGCUCAGGAGGUUCCCCAGGAGGUGAUGGUGGAGGUGAUCCUCCUCGUCGCCUAUCAGCGGCAGAGAAAGGCAAGGGAAAGAAGCUGGCCACCAAGAAGCGCAAGGCCAGUGACAGAGAUGCAGAGGUCGCAGAGGCAGUGGCAGCAGCAGCAGAGGCCGCAGAGAGAGGUGGUCGAGCAGGUGCUUUGAGGAUUGGAGAUGAUCUUACGCCGCGUCAGAGGCGUGCAGUGCUUGAGGCAGAGGCAUUCCAUGGAUCCCCUCCAGGCACCGUGACGAUUGGAGGACAGAGGGUUAGGCUUGUGGUUAGGGAUCCGGCUCAGGAGGGUCCGGACACUGAGACAGAGACCCAGGCAGAGGGUCCAGCAGAGGGACAUGAGCAGGAGCAGCCACUGCGGAGGUCGACUCGUGCUCGUACUCAGGCUACUCCCCGGACUGGUACGCAGGAUCAGUCCACCUCCACAGCUCGUGCCACUCCGGCUAGAGGCACUCCAGCUUUCCGCCAGAGGCCAGUCAGGAUCCACAGGGAUCUCACCCUUGUGUCAGCCAGAGAGAUCCAGCAGCUGCGGUUCGUUCCGUUUCCGACUUGGUUUCCAGCUGCCAGGGAUCCCAGAGCCGGUGCCCGCUUCUACACCAUCGUCCAGGAGGACAUUCACGAGGCAUUGGUUCGCUCUCAGUCUCAGUUCAGGGAGCACAGGGUGAUUGACCUAGAGAUUCUUGGGAACGUGGUCGGGGCAGAUAUUCGACAGUAUUUCACGUACCUCCACGGACUCCCAGAGCUGCUAGCGCUCCCAGGUACUUAUUGUGAGCAGUGGGUCAGAGAGUUCUAUGCGUCAGUGUGGAUUUCUCCAGAUCACAGUUAUAUCCACUACGCACUGGCAGGGACCGACUACAGAGUGACAGCACAGCUGGCCAGACAGGUGCUUGGACUACGAGCCUCUCCCACCAGGGUUCACCAGCUGUGCUACGGGAACGUGGAUCCCCCUCGUCGUCCUCACGGUGGUGAGAUACCACCGGUUGACUUCGUGGCUCCAUGCUUCCGUGCACCCUUUGGAGAGGGCUCUAGCAGGACAGUGGGAGACUUGACACGCCCAGCUAGGAUCCUUGACUUCGUGUUGAGGAAGACUCUUCUCCCCAGGACAGGCUACAGAGACGGGUUCACUCGCAUCCAGCAGUGGUUAGUUGCACACCUCAUCUCUCAGACAGAGUUUGACUUGUGGGAUCUGAUUGUCUCAGAGAUAGAGGACACCAUCUCAGAGAGCUUCAGGGGCUGGCGUCAGUUGCCCUACGCACAUUGGAUCACCCUGCUUAUACUUCGUGCAAGGCCACUGCCCCUGCCAGCUCACUUGCAGAGGGAGUUGACAGAGUCGGACACAGUCUUUCCCCACUACGACCCCCGGCAGAUGUUGAGAGCGCACCACGACCUUUGCGGUGCACCUCCUCCUCGUGCUCCACGUGGACCGGUGCCCCACCCUCUCCUAGGGGCACCCGCAGUACAGCGGCAGUUGCAGAGACAGAGGAGCAGCAGGAUAUAGCCAUUGGCGCGUUUGCAGAUGCAGAGGCAGAGGGCGAGUUUGACUUCGCCUCAGACAGUUCAGACGACGACUAUCAGCCGCCAGUGACUGACCUUCCUCCCAGAGCUCACGACCACGAGGCAGGCGGUUCUUCGAUUGCUUCAGACCCCGCCUUCCUUGCUAUACUAGAGGGUAUGAGGGCAGACCAGCGCCGUGCAGCUGAGGAGCAGGCGAGGCGCGACAGGGAUCAGGCUGCCAUCAAUGCAGCCAUGCAGGCCAGGUAGGAUGAGCUCCAGCGUCAGCUUCUCACCUUUCAGGAGUAGCAGCUUGCUUUCCAGGCCCAGCAGACAGCGAUGAUGGCCGCUCUCAUGGCCGCCUCCGGGAUACAGCUACCACAGAUUCAGCUCCCAGGCACGUCGUCCGUCAGGCCUCCUACUCCUGCACCCCAGACUCAGAGCCCGUCACAGCAGCCGCUCCAGCUACCAGCUCAGAGUCAGCCGUUUUCGACGCCACAGCACCUGGUAUCUCAGGGUGCUAUCUCUUCAGGCUUUGAGCAGGUACCGCAGUUUACCCCUCUCCGCUCAGGCUUCACCCCUCAGUCAGCUUCAGCGUCACAGCUUGUGUGGGACUCGCAGACAGAUCCGCACCUCAGCUUCACCUACAGUGCUCUGACUGGUGACCCUACGCCUCCUCCUCUGCAGGCUCCUGCAGUCUUUACGGCGCCAGUUACCACUACAGAGCUUCUGUCGUCGUCCGUAGCGCCGUCCGAGCAGCUUGCACCGUCUACUAUCGUUCUCGAGACGACAGCUACAGCGACCGAGUCCGUGCCCGCUUCGUCAGCCGGACUUGAGCAGUCAGCACAGCCUGUGACAGCGCCAAAGCAGACCCGGACCAUUUCUCCAGCACCUGCAGCUUCAGAGGGUCACUCCACCUCCUCCGCCUCGACGGCCGACACUUCAGAUGAUGCAGCUCGCUUCGUGGCCGCGCCGAGGGACUCUACUGCUCCGCCUCCUCCACCGUCUUCUUAGGUUUUUGGCGCUUGAUGCCAAAGGGGGAGAGAGUGCAUAUGAGAGAGUUAGGGAGUUAGGGGGAGCUAGAGAGGGAGUUUUAUUCUUUUGAGAUACUUUCUUUGUGUGCUAGCAUCAUGCAUCAUGUUUACCUUUAUGCAUUACUCGUGUGUGAGAUACUUUGGUUAUGAGACAUGACUUUUGGUUAUUGUGAUAUCUUAAUGUCAUGUGUUUUGGCUCAUAUUACCUUUGCUUCCGCGUUCUUACUCCGAUGUUCUUAUGAGCCUUAUGUUUAUAUCCUGUCGUAUACCACUCACAUAUUUGGAUGCAGGGUAUUGGACUUGGUUGAUAUAAGCAUUACUAAUCUCUUAUUGUAAUAUGGUUAUUGAAACCAAGUCACUUUGAAAACCUCAACUCUUUUCAUACUCGAGGUUGUCAUCAAUCACCAAAAAGGGGGAGAUUGAAAGAGCAUCUAGGCCCUUAGUGGUUUCGGUGAUUAAUGUCAUUAUGAUUACUAUGACUAACAUGUGUUUUGCAGAGGCAAAGUCAUAGGUAAGGUCAUGGUAUAUAGGUACUCGAUGGACAGGGACGUACAUGCCUAAUUAAUAGUGGAAAUCGUUUCGGUUUUCAAAGGAUGGAUGGACAUCGUCAAGACUAGACUAGGUCUAAGUGCCAUAUGGUGAAGAAGGGCACUUAGAGUAGUUUAUGACUUUGUUUUCCUUUGACCGUACUAUUAAGAGGGGCUUUGAUCUAGUAGUUUGACUUAGGCAAGGCUUUAAGUUUAGGUGUGGUGCACACUUGGUAAACCUAGCACUAGGCAGCUCAGAGAUAGUCCUUAGAUCGAGAGGAACCAACUUCAUUUUGGAGCGAUCGCGUUUCGACGAAGUUUGGGUGCCCAAAGGGGCACCGGACGCUGCACCGGACGCUCUGUGAGUGCGUCCGGUGAGGUCCUUAGCCGUUAGAACAUGCCAGUGCUUAGGGUCAGGCACCGGACGCCAGCACCGGACGCACCGGGUAGCGUCCGGUCCCUUACCCAGAGAGCUUGCGAGCUUUCCCUGAGUAUCGGACGCUAGCACCGGACGCGCCGGGUAGCAUCCGGUCCCAUGCGCAGGGAGCAUGUAAAGUUUCCCCGAGCACCGGACGGUGCACCGGACGCUGGGAGUUAGCAUCCGGUGACCUGUCAGAGAAAAGUGCAGGUAGCCGUUAUAAAGCACCGGACGCUCGGUGCAGUGCGUCCGGUGCAACAUAAUGUGCGUCCGGUGACCCCGUUUUCAGUGGAAAACGUUUGGCCGACCUUUGGACUUCGUGGAUAGUAUUUAUACUCCUCCACCUCGUCCAUGAGAGCUCUCUUGCCCAUUUGAACAUCAGAGAACCUUGUUGUGGAGCAAGAGAGUUGCAAGAGCCUAGAGAGGAUUGAGAUUUGAGUGAUUUCUUGAGAGAAUCCUUCUCUAGUGAGUUCCAAGAGUCAAGUGUGCAUCCACCACUCUCAAGUGCCUUGUUUGGGCCAAGUGAGAGUUCUUUGCUUGUUACUCUUGGUGAUCGCCAUCACCUAGACGGUUCGGUGGUGAUUGGAGGCACGAAGACAGCCCGGAGUUCUUGUGGGUGGCUCGUGUCAAGCUUGUGAGCGGUUUUGGGCGAUUCACCGCGACGGAGUGUCGAAGAAUCAGCCCGUAGAGAGCACUUGGUCCUUGCGCGGACCAAGGGGGAGCAAGACCCUUGCGCGGGUGCUCCAACGAGGACUAGUGGAGAGUGGCGACUCUCCGAUACCUCGGCAAAACAUCGCCGAGCACUUUCUUCCACUACUCCUUUACUUUCUAGCAUUUACUUUGUGCUUUUACAUUCUUAGAAUUGCCAUGUUAGAAUAGGAUUGGAACUAGGUUGCAAAACUUUUUAUCCGAUAGCUCUCUUAGUCACACUAGGCACAAGGGGUUGAAUUGGAGCUUAUAGGUUGCUUAAAUUUUUAGAGAAGCCCAAUUCACCCCCCCCCCCUCUUGGGCAUCUUGAUCCUUUCAGAUUCAUCUCGUGAUUUACAGGUAAACUGUGUAAUUAAUUUUUAUUUUUGUCUAUAUUUAGUGUCCCAUGCAUGUGACGCAAGAUUCGAUGUGACGAGGAAUCUUGAAAAGUUUUUGGUUUUUGGGGUGAACUAAACAAGGCCUUAGUUAAACUUAAGAUAGUUCGACUAGAAUGAGUUCUAGGAAUUGAUUUAUUUAAGAUUGAGGAAGUAUGCAUACAAUGCUGGUUUUCAAAAUUAAGUUGUAGCAUAGUUAUUUCACCUCUACCAUCUCUUACAGUUUGGAAUAAAUAUUAAAUACAGAAUGUCUUAUACUCCCUCUGUACCUAGAUUUGAUGACGCUCUAGGCUGUUGGCCCAUUUGUGCAAAGGAGCCACGAAGGGGUCCCUAAGGACACGAUUGCCCAUGGCCACGGCACCUGUUGCGAUCAUCAGCCAUCCGCAUUCACUUGAUUGCAUGUGUGCCUCGUUCCUCUCCCGCAUUCGCUUGAACGCGCGCCUCGUUCCUCUCCCGCAUUCACUCGCUCGCACGCGCUAUCCCUCGACUCCCUUCGUAUCCCCUCGUCACAGCUCGCCCUUCUUCUCCACACAGAGCUCGCCGUGCGCUACCAUCCUGUUAGGUUUAGGGCUCGCCACCCAUUCUUCUUUGCACAAAGGUAGGCGCCGCCAUCCUGCUAGGGUUUAGGGUUCUCCAUAGAGUCCUGUGGCUUCAAGGUCAGUCACAACAUAGAGGAGUCAUCGCUCGACUUAGUGCAUGCCACAGACGCUAGCUCAUCGUUGCCAGACUCAGUAGAUGCACUAGACUCAGAGGAGAUGACGCCACAGGUGGUGCUGGCCGCGGAGGUGGUGCCGACCGUGGAGGUGGUGCCUGACUCCAUGGAGAUGGUGCACGAGUCCGUGGAGACCCUAUGUGCUCACUGCGGCACCUUCCAUGUUGGCGACGUCUUCAGAGAAGCCUUCUUCCAAGCUCGUCGCCGAGCUCGCAGGUGUGGUUGUUGUGGCCUUUUACACAAAGACUAUGACCACGCAGCAAGGUGGUUUCAUGAUAUGGAAAGGUUUGAUUGUGAAAUAUACAUCCCUGAUGUGGAGAAACUUGAAAUGAAUGGUAACACCAUCAUUCUGCCUCACCAAGUUGUAAAGAGGUUGGAAGAGCACAUUGUGAAUAUGAAGGACACAAAGAUACAUAAACUAUCUUGCAUUAACAAGGUACACCAUCUCUCUAACUUGCAUCUUCUAAUUUGCAGGGAGACUAGCAAUUGCUUCGGCUAGCAAGGAAGCUUCACAAGACAUUUGCAAUGGCAGCUGGUCUUCUCUCUCUAGUCUUUGUUUUUGCAUGUGAGGAAUCUUGAUUUUGUUGCAUCCUUUUAUCUUCAUGGCUUUCUUCAAAACACUUUGAAGUGUAACAAAGAUCCUAUUUGCUUUGUGUGGAGAAUAUUCUAGGACUGUCUACAAAACAUGUGUUGAAUAAAUGAAUCAAUGAGUAAUCCAUUUAGUUGUUAAAGAUCAAAUGUAACAAGUGAACAAGUGAUCAAUUUACCUGCUACACGCCUAGAACUAGAUCUUUAAUUGUCUUUGCAUCCUUCUUGUAUUGAAUAGCUCAAAAAAACCCCAAGUCAAGAAUGUUAAAAUCCAGAGAAUUGGGUGGUUGACAUAUAAGCCAAAUGUCAAACCCAUCUUGCCUAGCAACCUCACAAAAUACUAGAUCAUCCACUUUUAGGAGCAUUAUCUUGUUGUAUGAAAAUUGACUUUUUCACAUCUUCUUGGCCAUUUGGCUCGAAUGGCAGACAACACUCUAUUUACCAUAAAAUCUCUAAUCACAUCUCUUGUGAUUGAAGUUAUGGGCUUGAUAACUUGCUCUCCACGAAGACGGUUGUGAUUUCCUCUAGUUUGUUCAAAAAGUGACUAGUGGAAAACAACCUAUUUUGCCAUCAAACACACAUUCUCCAUUUCUAAAUCUUGGCCGAGCACAAACACACAAAAAACACGAUCCUAGGGAUGUGAUUAUUGUUCUUGCAAGUGCGAUGUGGUUCAUCUUCCUUAGGUAGCAAGUAGUACCUCUCAGAUUUUUGAGAGGUAGAACCAUUUCACAUCAAUAAACACAAAGUCAAACAAAUCCUUAAACUUUGGAUCAUCAACCUUCAACCUAGUCUUCCUGUUAGCAUCGGUGAGGUAAGGUUUUAUGCUAUUAGAGUGGCGCCUAAGCAAACUCUUUUUUAAAUACCUUUGUAUCCUAGAUUUGUUAAUACCAAGUCUACUAGACAUAUCUUCUAUAUAUGGUCAUUCUUUGCUUGAGAGGAACAUUGCGCAAUUAUUCCAAAUCAAGAGGGGUUGCUUUAUGGCCACAUUUACCUUUCUUUAGACUAGCAACCACGACCAGAAUGUUUUGAGCAAGUUGGUUUUUACCUCGCUUUCAUAUGCGUUGAACUAAUCUAAUUUUCACUCCAAAUUGAUGAGCAACAAUUGUUGUAUCUUUCUUGCCUAGUUUGUUGUUCUUGCUUCUAACCAACAAUAUUUGGUACACUUGUUUUCUAAUUUCUUUCAAGCAUCUUAGGCUUAUGGUUUAUUUGAAUGGGAGCCGCAACAUCUUGUUCUAGUAAAAGGAAAAAAACAAGCAUAUGAAAUAUUAGCCACGACAAAUUGUAGCUAAUGGAAAGAAACAAGCAUAUUCAUACGGAGUAUCUCCAAAAGUUUGCUAUUUCAACUUGGCAUCCAUAAAAUUUUGACAUAAUAUAAAAAUAUAUUCUUCAAUAGUUUAAUAUUCUAACUUAGUAAAAAUAGAAAGUUGGCAUAUUUUCUUUGCCAGUGCGUAAAAAUGCGCGCUUAUGGUCCUUGGCAUCGCCGCGCGUAAUCUCUCUCUGAGCGACUGACAAGGCAUGUCGCCCUGACAAGCUGUUGCUGCUGGCGUCGCCUGCUGCUUCUGGGCGUCGCCUGCUGCUGCUGCUGGUGGUGGUGGUGGUCCGCAUCACCGCCUGUUGCUGCUGCUCCAUGCUACUAGUCCGGCUCCUCUGCUGAAAGGACAUGAAAGUUGUCUGGUCUUCCUCGUGAACUAUGAUUACAAGGUCAAAAUCAACCGCACCAUACUCAUCUAUUGGCAAGUUCAAAUCAAACCCUAUCCAAAAAGGAAACAGAAAAAUAAGGAAAGAUGGACCUAGCUUGAAGCAAACAACAAAAUCAAACAAGGAGACACAUUACCGUAAUCAUCUUCUUCUAAGCCAACGUUCAGAUCAAAUAUGUUAUUAUCAUCUUCUAAGCGAACAUUCAAAUCUUGGAUCAGCCAACAUUGCAUGCGGUACAUGCAAAGAGAAGAGAGGGAAGUGCGGAGAUGAAGUACGAUUAUGGAAAGAGAAGAGGUUGAGGAGAGACUGCAUAUUAAUAGCCACGGUGGAACUCAAACGACGAAGUAAUAGAGCGCUAAAUUUGGAAUAUAGUGGCGCCACUGCAAAAAAGCAUUUGCCUAUGAAAACAAAGCGAAAACAUGGCCAAAUGUGCAAAUCCCGCGCCAUGCAGCCUGUACCAGGUAACAAAAAGCCAUGAUGCACUAGCCAUCUGGACUAGAGAACUUUCUCGUAUACAACACACCCACAACCCUAUUUUAUAGGGGUAUAUAUGAAAAAUACUAUGUCUCCUUGGUAACCAUAAUCUUAUCCUAAACGCUAUUUAAUCAAGGUAUGGACGAUAUGUGUUGGAGGCAGAUAUAGCGCGUGCAUACUCGGAAGCAUGCGAUCCCAGCCCUGCACACGAGAACCCCAUGUGAUCCACUUCCCCAUGUAGUAGACCAGUGCAUGCACCCCGACAAGCGAUGGGCCUUGUUCGUUUGACUGAUAAGUCAUGACAGAAAGUAUUGGUGGCUGAUUUGUUGUGAGAGAAAAACACUGCUGAAUGGUCGUUGCCUGCGUGUGCUCCAAGCAGCAUACAAACCAAGAAAAAAUAAAAAUACUUCCUAUUUUAUUUGAAUUGCUAUAGAUUUAGAUGGUGUAUCUAUUUUUAAUUCCGUAUGUAUCAUCACGUUCUACGUAAUGAAACAAACAAAAGUAGACCUAUCACUUGUCUAUAUCUCAAAAAAAUUAUUUUAGUAAUAAUUUAUAUAUAAAUAUGUGUUAGGAGAUUUAUCAAAAGAAUUAUUACAAUAUAAUAUUAAAGUUGUUACUGAAAAUAUAAUGAUUUUUUUAUAUAACAUAUGCAUAUCGAUUGUUAUCGGAGGAAUAUAAUAAAAUUGUUAUAUAGUAUUUACAUAAAGAUAGUAAAAAAUUAUUAAAGGGAAUAGCGGUCUAGAACAAGUCAAGUUGCUAUUUGAAGGUGCAAAUUAUUAAAAUAAGCAUUAUGUAAGCUGUCAACUAGGGACAAGUUAUUGUACAACAUAUUAUAAAAGUCACGAAACAUAACUUGCUGCCAACUAGAGACAUUUAUUGAAAAGCAAGGGUAGCGAUAAAAAAAAAGACAAGUUGUAAUCUGAGGGUAAAUUAAUAGAACCAACAUUGCGUAAGCUGCCAACUAGAGGCAAGUUAUUAUAUAACUUACAAAGUUGUAGUAAGUUAUAUAAUAGUUAUAAAGUUGUAGCAAGUUAUAUUUAUUGUGUGCGGCAAGUCUAAUUACAAAGUUGUAGCUAGUUAUAUUAUAUUUAUUGUGUGUGGCAAGUUUAAUUACAAAGUUAUAUCAAAUUAUAUUUAUUUGUGUGAUAAAUAGAAACUAAAACACUGAAAUAGGUACCAAAAUAAUAAAAACAAAAAAAUAGACCGAAUCUUUGAAAUAGAAAAUGAAACAUUGAAAUAGCUACCAGAUAAUGAAACUGAAAAAUGAAAUAGCUACCAAAAAAUUAAAAAUGAAAAACUAAAACUAAAACAAUAAGAUUGAAUCCUUAAAACAAAAUAAAAAACUGAAAAAACUGAAAUUACUAAUUGAAGUUGUAGACUGAAAUUGCUAACUAAAAUAACAAACUGAUUAAGAACUGAAAUGGCAAAAUGAAAAUAGAAACUGAAAUUACUAAUUGAAAUCUAUAUACCAUCGAUCACGUGUUGUAUGUCUAAUUCUUUCCAGUAUAGCAAAUACUUAAAAAAAAUAGACAUCUUCUUGAAUAUGUCCCCUUCUGAUGCCUUGACAUCCUUUAUUUUCUUUUCAUCUUUGGUCUUCUUCCCAAAAACAAAUGUGACUUUGCUGACUACAAAUUGAACUUUUCAAACUAAGUCACAUGAAAAGAGAAAUGUAUGUUGUAAAUCGUGAUGAGUUUUACAACUUUGAUGUUUACAACAUUUUUAUUUUAGGCCUUUUUGUCUUAAAAUUCAAUUCGAAGUUCACAUCUUGUCCAAAAAAACAAAGUUCACAAAUUCAAAAUUUUUAAGUAUAUUUGUGUAAAAAAUGUAUAUCAGCAAGUUGUUUUUAUGUGUACGGGCAAAUAUAUCAAAUUAUUUUUAACACAUUUAUAAAAAUUAUGCAAAACUAAAGAGAACAAAAAGAACACUAGUCGUUCACUGUACUGCAAUUUUAGUGGCAACAGUAGUGCUCCCGUGUGUGUGUAUAUAUAUAUAUAUACACGACAGCGCUAUUCUACACCCUAGGUGUAGAAUAUUAUUCUACACCGCAAGUCAAAACUGAGUAGUACUGAACAACGUUCAGUAUCAUUCAGUGGUACACCCAGGACCACGAAUAACCCUGGGCAAAUUACCCGAUACCCAUUACCCGUAUCCGAAUUACCCGGAUCCGAACCCGAAUUACCCGAACCCGAGGUACCCGAUCCUAAAUUCGGAUAGCGAUUUUGAUUACCCGAAAUUAGUUUGGGUAAUUCGGGUAAUAUCUCCCGGUACCCGAACUACCCGAACUACCCGAAUUACCCGAAUAUUUGUCUUUAUCUUUAUAUAUAUCAUGUGUUGUUAGCUAAAUAUUAGAACUUAUCAAUUUAAUAGAACAUAAUUCUCUUUGUUUGAACAAGUGCUAGUAAUAUAUUAUUCUCUACAAAAUGCUAUUGAAAUUAUAUAUAAAUUGCUGCUGAAAUUAUAUAUAAAUUGCUAUUGAACUUUUGUGUAGUGUGUUGUUUUUUGAAAAUUCGGGUAAAUCGGGAAUACCCGAACCCGAACCCGAAUUAUCGGGUACCUGAAAUUGCGGGUAGUGUCUUUUCGGGACUAAUAUCGGGUAACAAUUUUUAUUACCCGAAUUUUGAAUUACCCGACCCGAAAAAAUCGGGUAACCCGAAUGCCCAGGCUUAACCACGAAAUACUGAACAAUACUGAAACAUGACUACUCAACAAAUACUGAAUUCUGUUCAGUAUAACAGUUUGGUGUAGAAUAGUAUUCUACACCUAGGGUAUAACGGGAUCGGACAUGUGACACCUAGGAUAUAUAUAGUAUUCUGUUCAGUAUAACAAAUAUAUAUUCUAUUCCUAGCCGAUCGGACAUGUGACACAUAUUUGCCUAUUUUCUUGAGGAUAUACGAAUGUCUAUGUCAACACUGCAUUUUUGUAAGGUCCAUGUCUAUGGGAUCUAAAUGGUAUAACGCGAGGUACUUUUACAACUAAUAACUUGGGCGGUUUGUCCAUAAACAUUUAAUCACUAUACUUCACUAGUUGUUGUUGUUUUUCCCCUACGGAAAAAGGUGACCUUGUGAAACGUGGUAUUAUGCCUUUGAAGGAUGGUCGCGUCUAUAAUAUGGCACAUUAUAAAGUCAUUGCAUUCACAUGCCUAAUCGAAGAACCCUGGAUCAGUAACUUGACAGAUUGACCAUUGACCUCUUGUGGUUUUCCAGGCAUAAUGGUGACCUUGUCAAUCCUGAUGACAAAUAAAUAGAUUACAGCCCUAAAUUGAACGAUACGUCUAGUAGAUUACUUUUCAUGUUUCACAUUCACUCUUAAAAGUUAACUACAUUUGAUUCAUUUUUUGUUUUGUGAGCAUAUAACACUGCAUAUUAGGCUUCACUAUCAUAUUGUUUGUCUAUUUUACAGCAUAAAUGCUCAAGCAAGGUUGUGACAACUGACAGCCAAGGCAUAGAUCAGCGUUACGCAAAAGAAAUGGAAAGAAACAUGCUGCUUUGGCCAAGAUAUUCUUCGAUCCUUGAUCCAUGCGUGCACUAAAAUUACACACUAAUUUGACGAGAACAAAGCACAUUGAUAGCAGCGAGUAGAGAAACUUGAUCGUGCUACUCCUAGUUAGUUAAUAACGGUAUCUAAAACUAGGAGUCAUAGCAAGCGAAGGUUGCAUCAUAUUCAUAUCAACAAGUGGCGAUUCAUCUUUAAGAAUUCAGAAUGCACAUAUCCCCUUGAGAUGCUUUCAGAUCCAUCAGUCACAAUGCUCAAAAUCAGCAGCAUGUUCAACCAUUAGUGGACGAUAACAAGAUCAGUUCGGAUGGCCUAAGACCACAUAGAACAAUAGCAGUCGGUCCAGGGCAAUGCCCCUGUGGACACUAUCACUGAAAGGUUCACAUGGUUCAUGGCAUCCACAGAAUCAACAGAUAGAAAAAAGGACGUCUGAUUACGCACAACCUUUGGCCCAAAUGUACCAUUUGUACACCUUCGAUUCCAAUACCUGACAGCCUCCAAGUCAUUGGAUCUAGACAAAUCUAGUCUUGCCACCCUUGUCAUGCUUCUUCACCUGUUAUCAAUUACAAUAAUGUCAAGCUUCCAUGGAGGAAUAGCAAUGAUGAUAAAUAUGGACUAUAUCAUGAUUGCGGGUGCAGGAAGCAAGUGCCUGCUUACCACUUUGAAUGUUGACUGCAGCUUGCUUAGCUCGACGGGGCAUUCUCCCUUCUCAUCAUACUCAGAAAAUUCACCUUCAGAGCAGUCAAUUUCGAAAGGAGUCCCAUGCACCUUAAAAAAGAUGGCAAACUGUUAGCACAUCACACAAAUGAAAACUAAACAAUUGUGAGAGUACAUGCAGAACUAGCAAUAAACUAAAUUCCGCUAAAAGAUGGUUUAAAAGCAAACUCCCAAUUGUUGAAAAGGUGAAACUUUCUAGAUUUGGAAAAAGCAAUUUAAAACAAUAGACUUGUUACUGUGAAAGAAAUAAAAAACAUUUCAUUUCUUCUUGGAGAGAGAAGACAGCCAAUCAGUGUGUGGACUAUGAACAUAAAGAAUUGGUGUGUCCACUUAAAGAACAAGUACAUUUGUAGGUCAGAUGCCAUACAAGCUAUAAACACAUGGGAAACCCUAUGCCACUUCAAAAUAAAAGCACAUAUACACUUCUAUGCUUAAGUAAUGCACAAUGUGAAAACAGAUACAAACACAUGGGAAACCUUAUGCCACUUCAAAAUAAAGCACAUAUACACUUCUAUGCUUAAGUAAUGCACAAUGUGAAAAUAGAUAACUGUAAUAUACACUUGUGUUAAGUAAUGAUGUGAGAACAAAUAAUUGAAACAGAGUUAUGCCAUACAUGGAAAAUGGAGUACUGAAUAUAACAAACCAAGCACACAGAAAUGACAUAAUAAGGUGAGAUCACAUAGAAUAGAAUACCAGAAAGAGCUCAUUUCUAGAUUGAGUGAAUAACUUUGAAAAUAUUAAUUAUUUACAACUAAUGUGUUGGUUUUGUAUAUGUAAGCAGUCAUUAACAUUCAUGAUAUAAGAUCAAGAAAAAACAUACAGAUUCAGCUUUCCAGCCAGCGCCAAAAGAAAACUCAACAGGUUCAUAGCCUCUGCAGUCAAACACCAUCAAACAAGUCUUCUCUUCUUUCUGGCUCUGCUCAAUAGUAAGUGGCGUCCCCUGACCAGGAAUCAUCACAAUUGUUCCAUCUCUCCCACAAAGCUUGCACUGAGAGAAGACAAACACAUCAUACACAGGAGGACAUCAGGACAUACCUUAUAUGGUACAACAAAAUAUACAAAGUCGAUACACUAUUACUGAAACAGUUUGUUUUCUCCUUUACGCCUUUAACAACCUCAUGGAAAAAUUAAACAAAGAACCUAAGAAUAUGGAUUGAAACAAGUUUUUCCUCCUUUAUGCCUUUGUUAGAAACCUCAAGGAAAAAAUUCAGAUAAAGAACCUCGAGAUACCAAAUUGAUUAUUGGACAGAAAGUCAUUCAGAAAGUUGUUACCGCUAAUCAACUAAUGAUGUGGAUUGCUAGAAUAAAUAGGCUAUUUUGAACAAAAAAGUAAGGAUCCUACAUAUACUGUCAAGGCACAAGAUAAGAAAUUCUUAAGCUUCCAGGUCCAAAAUGGCAUUAUGAGGUCUGGCACAUAUUAUGUGCAUACAUAACUACAGCAAUAGAAAGGUGCACAGUACCACGAAAGAGUGCUGAAACUAGUUGUUUGCAUUUGAUCAGUAAAUAAUAUAAAAUAAUUGGAAAAUUGAAAUUGGAAAAAAGUUCUUUUAGCCUUAAAAAUGGGACCAUUUACAUCCGGUCACAUUGGAUGUCCAUAGUCUUUACACACAAUAAAAGUUUUAUGCAAAACGUUCAUGGUAGUACAUAUUCAUCUUGAUGCCAUAUGAUAAACCUCAAGUAAGGAGACAUAACAAUCAUAUUCAUAUAUAUAAGUGCACAACACAGAGAUGAUAAGACAUAAUUAUUGACUUCUUACACUUAAUUUAGGUAGAACAGAAAACUAUUUUUCUACCAUGGAUAUAAGGAAGACAAUAGUACAGAACAUGAGCAUAAUAGACAAAAUAACUGCAUUAGAUGCCUACACAAGGUCAAAAUGGAUAGUGAGGUGUUUUCCCAUCAUGAGUAGUGGCAAAGGCACCUUGUUUCCUAUGGUUAAAUGGUGGACACUAGACUUUUGCAUCAUAAGAUUUUUUAAGUGUAGAAUAUUUAAAUAAAGGUAGAAAGAACCUCAUGGCGGAUUAAUAAACUAUAUUAUCACAAAAGAACCAACAAUGGAAAAAUCAUCACCCUGCCAAUGAUCACAAUUCAGAAGACAACAAAUCAUAUUAACAAAAAAGAAACCCCAUUACUUGUGAAUUCAAAAGCAUAUAUUAUAUUUUCAUGGGCAACCUAGUUUGCAAAAUAGCAUGACCCUUGAGAAGGAACAAAUGAACAAUCCUCUGUUGUUACCUUUUUACGCAAAUAUGACUCCCAUCCACCCAAUUCAAUCCCCAUUUUAAUAAUGAAAUCAGCACUCCUCAUAGAAUCCAAUCCCAGCCUACUAAAUAAAUAACAUAAAAGAAGGAAAUCCAGAAGAGUAAAGGAAUCUCAACGAACUACAUCAUCAGUCAUCUCAUUUGCUGUCCUCGUACAAUGCAAGUUCAUCAAACAACCGAAUAAAAAGUCAGCUGAUAUCGAUUAUCAUCAGCAACACUAACAACCACUGCGUAUUCAUCAAUCAUACAAAAAGCACAGGAAAACCACCUUUCCUCUAAAAAAAUGCAUUUCUUGCUCACUUAAAACAAUAUUAUACUUAGAACACUAAACAGAGUUUACCAUUGUAUACAAAUAUAACUCCCCACACCCAACUUUACUUUUAACCAUGGAAAGAAAAAUUGUUCACCAAAUCCAUUCUAAACAAAGGCAAAUGGAUGUAUGCAGAAAUGAGCCUCCAUCUACCACAGCAAUAAAAGUGUCUCGUACUAAACAUCUAAACUAGCAGCCCCUUAUAGACAUACUAACAAGCUGAUUGAUCCAUCUUCCAUACUAACAAACACUCCUUCCUCACAGGCCAGUCUCAUCAAGCAUACCAACAUCACUGCAGAGGGAAGCCGAAUCCAUCCGGCCACAGAGGUAUGCGGAGGAGGAAGGUGAUGUUUGCAAGGGUACCUUCUGGACGAGGUGAGCGGUGCCGUGUCCUUUGGGCAGGUCGACUUGCUCGCUGAGGGUGACGUAGGUGGACUUGGCGGUGACCUCCCCGCAGUUCUCGCACUUGAGCUGCGAUCCGGCACAGAGAAACGAGCGAGCAAACCCCGAUCAGCGCCUUGCGCGAUCGAUAUGAGGGGAACCGGUAGUCCGGAGCCGAUCGAGCCAAAGGAGAAGAAGGGAAUGGGGACACGGACCUUGAGGUAGUAGGGGAAGUUGGGGUCGUCGCAGCCGCGGCGGGGCUGCAGGUUGGUGAGGCCGUCCAGCUCCGCGCCCACCAACAGCGCGUAGUACACCAUCUCCGCCGCCGCCUGCUUGCUAGGGUUAGGGCUCCGGGAUCCGGCUUUGGUCCGACGCCGACAACGGAGACGACGAGGAGGGAGGGGAAUGGGGGUUUUGGCUUCGCUUCGCUUCGCCUCGCGGCGUUAGGAACGGAAUACUACGGAGGAGGACGAAAGAGUGCUUGUGCUGUGCGCUGCCGUCACCGUUUGGACGAGAAUGACCCUAGAGUUCGCGCGUGGAUUGCGGGACCUGGGAGGGUAAUUUAGUCAUUAGAUACUGGCUGAGUGGCCCCUGGGGCCUGCGACUGCGAAUCAGAUUCGACGGGAUUUCCAACUCCUACGGCCCGUUUCGUUGGGCAGAAAUUCUGAUUCGACGGGAUUUCCAACUCCUACGGCCCGUUUCGUUGGGCAGAAAUUCAUUUUAGGCUUUGUUUGGAUGUAGUUGGAUUCGCAUCAAUCCACAUGUAUUGGGGUGGAUUGGAGUGGAACUUGAACUAAAUUCCACCCCAAUCCACUCCAACACAUGUGGAUUGAGGUGAAUCCGACAACAUCCAAACAAGGCCUUAGUUUAGUUGAAUGUAGUCGGAUUCGCAUCAAUCCAUAUGUGUUAUACUAAUCUACUUCAAUACAUGUGGAUUCAGAUGAAUCCAACAACAUCUAAACAAGGCUUCGUAAACAAAUCAGUAUUCAUAAACCAAACACGAGCUCACCCAGUUCACUUGUUAAGCCGUACUUUCUCGGUAGCCAACAAUAUUUUUCUCUCAUAACAAAUAAGUGAAUAAUAUUUUUAACUAUAAUUUUUUAGAUCAGCAAACACACCAAGAGUCCUUCUGACUUUUGAAUUUUGAUUUUUUAUGAUGCUAGGUUCGAGCAAAAAGCUCCUGUCCUAGCGAUUAGCGAAGCGACGGAAACAAAAACAAGCAGGAAUCCAGCCGUCCACUAUGAACAAAAAUGGGCAUGGGAGGACAACGCAGUAAGCGCAUGGUAUGGCAAUGAAAUCUUGACGCAACGGCUAUUAUGGAAAUCAUCUUGUAUCAGUCAUGACAGCAUCCCAACCGUCCGUUUUGCAUAAUUUGUUUGGCAAAUGAGGAAGUUUAUCAUUAAUCACUUGGCAAAAAAGAAAAUUAUGGACCCACACAAUUUUUUUGCCGAGCUUUUAUCCUCCCUGCGCGUCGGGUGAAUAUUCGCGGCAAAUUUAUUUUGCCGAGGCGCUAAGGCCGCGGCGUUUGUGCAUAGCCGCUCGGAGUUUGGUAGCUGGAGUCUUUGCUAGCAAAAACGAUCCGAAGAGCAUCGAUGGAGUACCUGGCGUUGAUGGAAGACCGAUAGGCAAAACACAAACAAUUGAGAGGGCAUCGAUGGAGUACCUGGCGUUGAUGGAAGAUCGAUAGGCAGUUCGCAUGAAAGUCUGGCGGCGGGAUGUCGCUAAACUCGCGCGACCUCAACCUGUAGCCGCGCACGGACUUCGCGCCAGUUUCCCAAUACCAAGUGUGAACAUGUUUGGCAUAUAUGUCAAUCAUUCCUCUCUUUUUGCCAAGUUAACAAAAUUGCAAACUUCAAAUACCAAACCGUCAGAUAGGUGUUUUUAAGACUUUUUUUUGCAAAUACAUGAAUGCAAAGCCUAUUUGCAAAACGGUUGGAUGCUCUUAUGCAGCCCAGAUGGCCAGAUAACACCAAGGAUGAACCAAACUUCCAGAAACUUGAGGAUCGUAAAUCCAAUGGACCUUCCAACAAACGAAACGAAAACAAAUCUUCUGGCAUGGUUUGGCCACUCUAACAGAGCAUCUUCCAGGGCUGCACUGCGCACAGUCGAAUCCUAAAUUCUGAUGCUCCAUCAAAGCAAUCAAACAAAGCAUCAACUAAGCAUAUAAUAGUGGAUCACAUAGAAGCUAAUACCACGGUGACGCAGAAGGUGAAAUGCUUGGGCACCAUCAAAUCACUCUCUACCUUGUCCCACUGUGCUACAUUUCAGCUAAAGAUAUGAAAUGCUUGCGAUCGCAAUUUAUGACACAUUAGCAUCUGAUGAAAUACCAUCAAGAACAUCAUUUUCACGCCGUAAGCAACACCAUCCUAAACGCUGUCUCCAUAUAACUAACCAUUUGGACACCAUUUCUGACUGGUGGAACUAAGCAAGAGAGCAACACAACACAAAAAUCAGAUCAAGAGUGAAGUUCACAGUAAUUCACAUAGUAAGUGUGUGUCUAUCAGCUCCGAAAGCACACUCUCAUGAAAGGGCAAAGAUCAAACUUCAUUGAAUAAGUCAUAAGUGAACACCACCACCAUCCAAGUCUUAUGUUCAAUGAUUUUGAGCUAAAACCUAAUCAGCCAUAACAUGAUAAGAAUAAGAAGACACAGUGCAACUCGUCUGAGCUUGCAAACAGCCAACUAUAUGUGCUAGAAUAAGCUCUAUCCAUAGGCACGCUGCUAGAGGGGGCCAAGAUGGCCAGAUCACAGUUCCAACAGGCAAAAUCUUAUCGCCGAUGAGCUGCACUCCAGUCACGAUCGCAAAUUCGCAAUAAACUAGACCGAAAGUUGGCAUAGAUUUUGUAAUAAGGUGUUGUAUCAAUCAACCCAUCAGAAGCAAAAUAAGUCCCAUACUCCCAUCCUGUUCUGCUCACAUCAGUUGGGGCGGCCUGCACGGAGGGACCGGAGGCGGUCGAGCCACUGGUCCUCGGGGACGCUGCCCGCCCACGCCGGCGGCGCGCCGGGGAACUCGACGCCGCGCAUCGCGUCCACGAUCCGCGCCGCGGCUCCCGCGGGCAGCGGGGCGCGGCGGCGACGCUCGUCCUCGGAGAAGGCCCGCGCCGCCGCCUCCCCGGGCCGCAGGUCUCCGUCCUCAUCCUCCGCCUCCGCGUCUUCCGCGGCUUCGUCCUCGUCGGACACGAGAUCCAGCGCGGAGAUGCCGUUUCCUGCCUCGUCGAGGCGGUGGUGGGGCACGGCGGCGUCGAGGUCGGGGUCGGAUUCGGAGUCGGAAACGGCGCCGGCGAUUGGGCGGUAGUCGGACUCCGGCUCGCCGUCGGAGUCAGAGGCCGAGGAGUGAUCGGGGAGGGAAGCGGAGGCGGGAAGGUGCCCGUUGCCGGGGAUGGACAUGGCUGCAGGCUGCCGCCGGGAGGCGACGGGGAGGAGGAAAGCCAAGUGGGUCUACUAGCGUCAAGCGCUUGGGUUGUUUGGGUCCUACCCUCCGCAAUCCCAUUCUGGUGUUGAUGGGCCGAUGGCGGAUUUUGUACGGAAACGGCGAGCCACGGGCCACGGCUCAACCCAACGUCCUUUCGAAUAAAAAAAUAGGAAAAAAAUUAACAUUACCUUUCUCUAUUUUUGCCAAAGUCUAUUUUUUUUUCUCUAAGCUCUAAAAUCGGAUAAACCACCUCUCUCAACUUUAAAACCAUUCAUUUAACCUCCCUCACCGAUUAUAAGCGGUUUGUAAAGAUAGUUUUGUUUUUUUAUUUCGAUUGAAUCUUUGAGAAAUCAUAGUAAAUCAGAGAAAAAUUAUAAAAUAAAAAACCUAAAUUUAUUGGACUCCACACGAGCAGAUCUAUAUGUGAACAUAUAAUAUGUUAUGUUUUAGUAUAAUAUUUUUUGUCGUACCUUUAGAUCUAUGCUUUGUUGUAAUUAAUGCAUAGCCGUAGUUUCUAUAGUUCAAUUGUGGUGAAAUUUUUAUGAUGGGCUAACUAUUGUAUGCUUAAACUACAGUAAAAAUUUCAUAUUCAUCGGAUCAUAAAUAAUUUAGUUAUCAUCCAAUGACUAUAAAAUUUUUACUGGAGUUCAAGCUAACUAAGUUAUACAUGAUCCAAUAAAUAUGAUUUUUUUACUGUAGUUCAAGCAUACAAUUAUUAGUCUAUCAUAAAAAAUUUAUCACAAUUGAAUUGUAGAAAUUGCAAUUAUAAAUUAAUUCUCUCAUUCAUCAAUUGCACAGGUGUAGAUGUCGGAUGUGAAAAUGCCAAGUACAACUGGUAUAGAUGGGACUGUACAAAUUCUGGAAGAAAAAAAUAUAUAUUACAUUUAUUUGUUCCAACACAUUGAGAGCAUAACCUAUGCAAGCAUGGACCUAUUAUUGAGGUCGAUGGAAGCCAGUAAGAGGCUACGCAGGCUCGCUUACUAGCUUUGAGCUUGGCUGCACGGUCGUGGCUGGGUGGGAUCCACUUAGAGCAAGUAUUAUAGUAGGCUGUAAGCUGGCUAGAUGCUGAGGUGGAGGAGAGAAGAGAGGAGAGAGAAGAGAAGCGGGCUGUAAGCUUACAGCCAGCCUGGGCACAGGAACCAAGAAACUUUGUGAGAGAGACAAGUGGGCCAUGUAUUAAUAGUGAAUAGCUAACUAUUGUAUGGAUGGGCUGGAAGAAGGCUGCAAGGAACCUUACAGCCAGCAAGUGGGCUGUAUUAUUAAACUUGCUCUUAGUCCAUCUCUUUCAACCUGUGGGCGGUGCAUGGAGUCGUGUGCGCAAGUCGAACCACGGAGUCGCAAUCUCGAACAGGGCGAACAAUUGAUUCAUGGAGCUACGCUUAGGCCAUUCUUAAUGGGAGUUUCAUGACACAGUUUCUAACACAUCAAUAUUUUGGAAACAGUGCAUAGGAGUUUCAUGGGGAUGAAACUCUCUCUACUUCCAUAAAACUCUUAUCAUCUCUCUCUUCAUUAAUAUAGCGCCACAUCAGCAUAUUUAAUGUGCAUGAAACUCUAAUGAAACCCCCAUUGAGACUGGCCUUAGCUUGUAGUGUGAGCCUCUACCACUAUCAUAGUGCUAGGGCCAGAGUUUGAGUGAGGCUUCGGCAUCAAUGGCCGAUGGUAGGGUUCAUCUAUGGUGCCCUGGCCACCUGCAAGAGAAGAGCCUCCGGUGUCCAUGGCUGAUGGUGGCGGUCCAUCCGUGGUGACCUAGGCACCUGCGAGAGAGAGAGCCUCUGGCAUCCAUGGCUGAUGGAGAAUUUUUUAUUUUUAACUCAAAUUGAAAACAUAUUUCAAAUUUGAUCCGGUUUCGAAAAUAUUUUUAAGACUAACCCGUUUGGCCCCGCCACCAUACAUGGCGAGUCAAAUGAACUGUACCCCGCCAUGCAUGGCGGCGGGGUACAACUGCCACGUGGCAUGCAGCACCAGGAGCUGCUGACGUGUACCCCACCAUAGAUCAUGGCGGGUUAGGCGUACCCCGCCACCCAUCAUGGCGGGGUAGGACCUUUCACCGUCACUUACUUGCCAUGCAUGUUUAAUUAGUUUUUGUUGGCCUCCAGCUAAUAACUCUUGGAAAAUUCUUGACUGGUACAGAGCUUAUUGCCCAAGAGGUGCAGCUUUAGAUUUGCUGGAAUUCUUAGGCUUGGGCUAAGGCCUUGUUUAGUUUUCAAAAACUUUUAAGAUUCCCCAUCAUAUCGAAUUUUGUGACAUGUAUGAAGCAUUAAAUAUAGAUAAAAAUUAAAAUUAAUUACACAGUUUACCUGUAAAUCGCGAGAUGAAUCUUUUGAUCCUAGUUAGUCUAUAAUUAAAUAAUAAUUAUCAAAUAAAACCGAAAGUGCUACAGUAGCGAAACCCAAAAAUUUUCGUGACCUAAAAAUAAGUGGGAAAUCUGUAAUUAAUCAUUAUACCUUGGGAGGUCGCAUCCGUGCUGCCAUCUCCAGUGCUGGUACAUGACAUCCUUCAGCCUCCAAAAAUUUUCAAGAUUCUUCAUCACAUCAAAUCUUGCGGCAUAUGCAUGGUAUAUUAAAUAUACAUAAAAACAAAAACUAAUUACACAGUAUAUCUGUAAAUCGCGAGACGAAUCUUUUAAGCCUAGUUACUCUAUGAUUGGACAAUAUUUGUCAAAUAAAAACGAAAGUGCUACAAUGUCGAAAUCCAAAUUUUUUUGCUAACAGAACAAGGCCUUCCUUUCAUACUUGUCACAGGCCACCUCGGAGAAGAUGAAGGUGCACUUGGGCCUUUGAAGGGUCAAGAUGGCGGACUAGAGGAGGGGUGAAUAGUCCUUUCUAAAAAUUAUUACGCCAGCUAACCGAAACAAAUGCGGAACUAAAACUAUCGGUCUAGCCAAGACUACACCCCUCUAUCUAAGUUCUCUAGCACCUUGAAAAGAUUCUAAACAAGCAAGCAAGGUGCUACCUUAGCAAAAGCUCACCUAACCAAUGAGCAAGGUCACACAAACCUAUGUCACUAGUACUUUGCAAACCGUGAAAGGCUCCUACACAAACUAGUGAGGCAAAGCGCACAAAGCCUAAGCUCACUAGCAAGCUCAAUAACAAGGCAACCAAUGCCAAAUUAGAGAGCGCAAAUUACUUAGCUACACAAACUAAGCAAUGUGACUAACAAGGUUACACAAACCAAAUUAGUCACGCAAGGGAACUACUUCUAGCUACACAAGCAAGAAGGUAACUAGCAAGCUACACAAGCUAACUAAUUACAAGAGCAACUACACAAGCACAAGUAUAUGAAUGUAAGAAUAAGCUUGUGUUAGGGACAUGAAAACCAACGGGAAGAACAAUGUUGACACGAUGAUUUUCUCCCGAGGUUCACUUGGUUGCCACCAAGCUACGUCCCCGUUGAGACAAGCUCCAAGGUUGCCGCCGGUCCUCUUGCUAGUGGUGACCCACAAGUCACACUCUCCCACGUGGAGUGAUUACCACAAGCUCUAGCACUUGACCCGGCCUAAACACUUGUCGCUCUUCACGUCUCGCUCAACUAGAGUUGCUCUUCGCGAUCCCCGCGGGGUGAGCACCGUACCCCUCACAAUCUCUUCUCCGGAGCACCGCACAAUCUCCUUGCGUGCUUCGACGGAGUCACAAGCCACCAAGCCGUCUAGGAGGUGGCAACCUCCAAGAGUAACAAGCACCACUGGCUUGCAACACGAACAUCUAGUGCCACUCGAUGCAAUCUCUCAAUGCAACGCACUAGAAUCGCUCACGCACACAAUCGGAUGAUCACUAUCAAGUAUAUGUGAGUUAGAGGCUUCACUAGCACUCCCCAAGCAUGGACACUAAGUCCCAAAGGUGCUCAACACUUGCCAAGGCCGGCCACCACUUCUAUUUAUAGCUCCAAAGGCUAAACUAGUUGUUGCCCCUUCACUGGCAAAACACGAGGGCACCGGACGCUUACAGAGAGCCACCGGACGCUCAACUCCCAGCGUCCGGUGCUCAGGCGUCAGCCACGUGUCACUAGCCGUUUGAACACGACCGUUGCCGUCAACGGCUACUGUGCACGCGCGCCUGCACAGCACCACCAGACGCUCUACUGCGUCACACCGGACGCGUCCGGUGCACACCGGACCCGUGCGCAGAGAGCUCCGCAAACUUGCAGGAUCACCGGACGCAAGCCACCGGACGCACCCUGAGUGUCCGGUGCUCUUGAGUCAGAAACACCUCGCACGCACUCGCUGACGUCACGCACUACCGGACGCUCGAAGAGUAACCGCCCAGCGUCCGGUGCCAGCGUCCGGUGCGCUCUGCACACCUGAGCCAGACUGACACCACACCGGACGCUCUGGACCAGCGUUCGGUGCUGCCAACACCAGCGUCCGGUGAGUGCCGCAACUUCUCCAAAAUUCCCACCGACGCAAUAGAAAAUAUGCACUUAAUUUUCUCAAAAGCGUCGAAUCCCACACCCCUCUCAACCCUAGGAACUCCACCUCCUUUGCAAAUGUGCCAACACCACCAAGUGUACACCACCAUGUGCAAGUGUGUUAGCAUUUUCACAAACACUUUUCCAAAGGAGUUAGCCUCUCAAACUUGCCACGCCACUCGAUCCUAACACGUAUGCAAAGUUAGGUCACUCAAGUGGCACUAGAUGACCGAUAUGCAAACAAGUUUGCUCCUCUUGACAGUAAACUUCUCUACUCACCUAUGACCGGUGAAAUGGAAAAACCCUAGGUUAUACCUUUGCCUUGCGCUUUCCAUUCCAUCUCCUCCGAUGUUGAUGCAACACAUGCACCAAUCAAUCACCAAAUGAUAUGAUCUACUUCAUAUCACCAUGUGACCAUAUUGGUUCAUCGAUCUUGACCUCACUUGCUCUUCACCAUUGCCUUGGUCUAUCGGCGCCAAGUCUUGCUCAAGCUUCACCGUCACACGCGGUCUCUCGCUUCAAAGCCUCCGACUUGCCCUUCACUCUUGCAACCGGUCCAUCGAGCCAAGCCUCAUCUUGAUCUUCUCCACCUUGGGCACAUGACUCCAUGUCGUGUCUCAUAUGCAAUAAGCUCCUCCAUUAUCACAUAAUCACCUGUGAAUUAAUCUCCUGUGUAUCUCACAUAAACACUAUUAGUCCACCUAAGUUGUCACUCAAUUACCAAAACCAAACAAGGACCUUUCAGCCUUGUUUACUUUGCAAAAAUUUUUAGUUUAGGCCACUGUAGCAUUUUCGUUUGUUUGUGGUAAAUAUUGUCCAAUUAUAGACUAACUAGUCUCAAAAGAUUCAUCUCACGAUUUAUAGAUAAACUGUGUAAUUAGUUUUUGUUUUUGAUUAUAUUUAACGCUUCAUACAUGUGCCGCAAGAUUCGAUGUGACGAGAAAUUUUGAAAAGUUUUUAGUUUUUUUGGGUGAAAUAAGGCCCAAGCCCGUUGUACAAUGCCCGGGAGACGUUGUCGUACACCCACCGCUCACUCAUCAUUGAUGUGUCUGGCCAUACCCUGUCAUGAUGGGAGGCGGGGUACGCCUAACCCGCCAUGAUCCAUGGCGGGGUACACAUCAGCAACCCCUGGUGCUGUAUGCCACGUGGUAGCUGUACCCCGCCGCCAUGCAUGGUGGGAUACAGUUCAUUUGUUCCACCAUGCAUGGUGGCGGGGCCAAACGGGUUAGUGUUAAAAAUAUUUUCGAAACCAAGUCAAAUUUGAAAUAUGUUUUGAAUUUAGGCAAAAAAUAAAAAAAUUCCCUGAUGGAGAGGGUCCAUCCGUGGUGACCUGAGCACCUGCGAGAGAGAGAGAGAGAGAGAGAGAGAGAGUCUGUGUGUCCAUGGCCGAUGGCAGGGGUCCAUCUACCAAUCUGCGGGGCCUGGGUACCUUAGAGAGAGCGAGGCUCCGACGAUGCCAAUGGCUCAAGGUUGGGUCCAUCUGUGGCGACCUGGGCACUUCGAGAGACACGGCUGGUGUCUGCGUGCUUAGAAUAGGAAAAAAAAA